rnacentral:lncRNA from 1 species
UUUUUUUUUUUUUUAUAAGGUAGUCUAGUGGUUAGAACUCACACAUAUUAAAUAUGGAGAAGUGGGGUGUCCGGAGUUCAAACCCCGGUCUCUGCAUAUAAUAUUUAUAUGCAACAUCCCUACCAACUGAGCUAAACUGACGAGAUAAUUGAAUUAAAUUUAAUGUUCUUCAUUUAAAAAUAAACUUAGAAAAAAAUCUAACACAUGAGAAAACAUAACAAAGACCUAAUUAAACAACUUUUGUCAAAAAUAAAAUAAGUUGAAAUAUUAACAUUUGAGAAUAGUUUAAACUGAACAAUUUGGUGGUCUGCUCAGUACAAAACAUACGAAAUUGGGCAGUGGAAAGCGAUGAUGGCUGAAUCAACAACAUCUAACAGGCAAAGCGAUGAUGAUAACGAUGACUACAUGGCUGACCUUUCUAAGUUUCUUCCUUCCGAUGAUGCCAUUAUUCAUCCUUCAAUUCCAUCAAAAAGGGUAACUUUCAUUUUCUUCAAUUGAUUUUACAAUUUGUCCUUUAAAGUUGUGAUUAGGUUCCCAAUCAUGCUUUUAAAUAAAUAUUUAUUUAUUUAUUUUAACUGUGUGGAAUCUGUAGUAGAAAUCUGUGGUUAGGUUAGUUGAAAUCUUGCAUCAUUAUUCAUAAUAAAUGCCAAUAUCCAAUACAUACACCGUAUAGUUUCAGAGAAUAGAAGUUAUUAAGGUUCUGUUUGGUAAAAAAAAAAGUAGUGUAUAGCUAAUAAACUAGCUUAUAGCGGAUAACUGAUAAUCUAGCUAGCUUAUAACUGAUAAGGUGUAAGCUAAUGUGUGCUUGGAUUAAGCUUAUCUGGAGCUUAUGCAAAACAGCUUAUGCAAAUAAAUAAGCUUUUAUGUUAAUUUAUAAGUUCUCACUAACAAAAAUUGUAUCUUUAUAAAGUGAUUUUUCGUAAACUGCAUUUACAAGCUUAUGAAUAAUACAUAAAAAUUUAUUUAUUUGCAUAAGCUUCAAUUAAGCCUAAUCCAAACGGAAUUUAUAGUGUUUGAUAAAAUUAGCAGUUCGACUAGCUUAUAAAUAUGAAAUGACAUAAAAAAUAUAUAUUUAAUUAAUAUUUAAUUUUCUUCAAUUAAGAUUAGUGGGGUAAAAUUAGGAUAAAAAAUGAUAAGCUAUAAGCUACUUGAAUUAGCUUAUCGAAAAACUGCUAUAAGCUGAUAAAAAUAAGCUACAGGCUCGUGAGAAAGUGACGGUUACCAAACUGGUCUUUUUUAAUAAAAUGAGGUCAUAGGAUAAAUGAUAUAAGAUAUAAGCGCAAAAUCGUGUCUUGCCAAAUAGACCCUAAUGUAACCACAUUUGCUGGUGUUGUGCCGACAACCUGGCACAUGUCAGAUAUUGCACAUGUCUUCAAUCUGAAGGGUCAGCGAUUGAUAGGUAGCGAUUCCGUUUCUUAAAAAUUAAGGGUGCAAAACUCAAAAUUAGUUCUCAAAAGAUGCACCACACAUUAAGUCAGUUUUUCAAUGAUUUGAAUAUUAGUUUUAUCUACAUUUAAUUGAUUGAUUAAUGUCCCAAGAUAUCUGAUAUAGCUAUUAGCUAGGGACUAAACAGUGUUUGUUUUCAACAAUUUUGAUCAAAUUGAUGUCGAAAAUCUUUGAGGGCCAACUUAAUGUGCCAUGUAUCUUUUUUUUUUUUUAUUGCAUGUGCUAUGUAUCUUUGUUAGACUAAAUUUGAGUUUUUAUUCAGAACAUCAUGAGCAUCGUUGCUAGAUUCCUCAUGUUUAGCAUUUGAACAAACAUUGUCUACAAUUUUGAAACGUUUGAUUUGGUUAGGUUUUUAAAACAUUGUACCAAUCAUUUCUGGUUACCAAAUUCUUUCGACUGUUGCCUUCUCUUGUAAAUAUGUAAUGUGAUUAUACGAUGUUUAUAUUUAGAAACUUACUACAAUUCAUCAAAUUAGCAUUCCUAUGUAUUUGUAUUUGUACAAAUUAAUCAUUCCAAAAGAGUUGAUCAGUACAUGCACAUGCUGUAGACUUUAGACUAACAUGUUGCCUCAAUAUUUCUAAAACAUGCAGAGGAUAAGGUAACUUUUAUUGGACUUCAUCUGAAACUCUAAAUAUCUAGUAUAACAUUGUCUAGCAAUAUUUCAAGACCAACCACUUUUUUAGAAAAAUUUCAUCGGAAGACAAGAUUGUCAACCAAAAAUCUCUAUCGAAGACUGUCUUUGGUUCACCUUGAUGUAUUCUAAUGCAAUUCUUAUUUCUUCUAAAAGGGGCCGUUCUUAAAACAUGAACUCUGUAAAAUCCCAAAAGCAUGAAGUAUUAUUGCUCAUGAAAGUAUCAAAGUUUAAUGAAUAUUCCCAAUAAAUGAAAAAGAAGAGGGUGUUGGAACAUUAUAAGAAGCUUGAAUUGCCUCUAAGGAUUUAAAAAGUGUUAUGUUGUAACUCGCUUGUUAAUAUGCAGAUUUCUGACAAGAAAGAUCCUUCAAUCAACUCUUCCAAGAGCCAAUUGAAAGCUCUUAACUGGCAAGAACGGCGAAAAAUUGAAAGAGAAAGAAAGCAAAUACAAGAGGAUGAACAAACAUUAGCAAAAGUGGAAGCUCCAAUACCACAAUCAAACAUUGGUUUUAAGCUUCUCAAACAGAUGGGUUAUACACCAGGUUCUGCCCUUGGCAAGCAGGGAUCGGGCAGGGCUGAACCAGUCGGAAUUGAAAUUCGAAGGUCACGAGCAGGUAUAGGCCUAGAGGAUCCCCACAAGGAGAAGAAGAAAAGGGAGGAAAUCACGAUCGACAGGAAAAGGAAGAAUGAGCAGGCUCUGAUGGAAGAAUUCGGGUCAAGGCAGAAGUCACGAUGGCAGAGUAGGAGAGUUAUUGUUAAUUUCAACAAGGCAAAGGCUACCCUUGACCAAUUGGAGAAUCGGGAAAUUGUGGAACCAACGAAGAACGAGGAUGAUGCUGAGGGUGAAGAUCAAGAAGAGGAAGAAAUAACAGAAGAGGUGUGUAACUUAACCAUACAUAUCAAAUUCAGUUUUUUUUCAACCUCGUUUUAGCUCUGCUCAAAGACAAUCCAAAAAUCACACACAAGCUUUCUCUACUCUUAAUCAUAGUUGCUAGGUUUUUCCUUAUUCAUGGUAGUAAGUAUCUCAAUUCCCACGAUACGUACGCAAAUAGCCAUGGCCGAUACAUAUGAUGGUAUGUAUUGCAAAUGAGCUUGUAUCGCUGGAGUAUCACAUGUAUCACGAUUCAUUUCAGUAUCGUACGGUUUCUGCAACUUGCGCGUUUUACCUGCAGAUACUGGGUCAGGUUGCACGACCUGUCAGAAAUCCAGUUUUUCACGUUUUUUACGCGGGUCAGUACUGGAAUUGUGUCAGGUUCGUGUGAACCAUCAGAAAUGACAGGGUUGCACCACUUCUUUGUAUUCUAGGGCUUUUUUUACAGUUUUGUUUUGAGACCUUCCAAUUAAACUGGAACUUUUCUCGAAAGCCACAAUUCAUUACAGGGUCUCCUUACAACUUUCCAUAGGAUUAAAAAAAAAAUGGUCGAACGAUACUUAUCCCGAUUUGACUACCAUGUCCUUGUUUACUGCAUUCAGAAAUUAUUGCAAUUUUUAAUUAAAAAAAGAAAAAGAUAUUAUUGCAUUUCGUUUUUAUUUUAAACUUGUUAACUCACUGUUAUUAUUGAACUUGGUAAUCCAUAUUUGAAUUGGUUGCGAAUUUGACUAUGGAGGUGAAAUGGAUGCAGGACUUGCUCGAUGUAUUAAUGAAACUGAGGGAUGAGUUCAAUUACUGCCUCUUCUGUGGAUGCAAAGUGAGUAACCACGUGCUUUAUCUCUAUCAUUUAAUAUAAACUAAAAAAUGUUUCCAUAUAUUUUUAAACGAUGAAACUACGAUGGAAAUUCGAUACAGUUGACAUUUGGUUUUUUCUGUCCAUAUUUCUCCAGUAUGAAUCAAGUUCUGCACUUUUGGAUAACUGCCCUGGAAUCAAUGAAGAUGACCACUAAAUUUAAAGUCUCUUAUGUGUACGGCAGAAAUUAUCUCGGUUGCUCUUUUUGUCAAGCAAGUACUGUUAGAUGUAAAUGCAUAUUGCGAUGAAGAUGGAUAAGCUCACAUGUGGUAGAUGAUUAAGCCUCCCAACUAGUGUGCAACAAUGUGUCAAUACAAGCGAUUUAUCUAUGCUGAGACUGAAGUCGUCUCUGAUAACAAUUCAGCUCGCUGAUUGCUUGAUCUUUAAGCAGAGGUACAAAAUGCUCUACCCUAUUGCAGGAUAUGGACGAAUUGGUUGAUAUGUAGCAUUUUAGACUGUUGUUCCUAAUCGGUUUAGGGGCGGGUAGGAGACCUGUCCACCCCUCCGAUAGGAAACGAGUUGGGGAUAAAGAGGCAAAAUUUGCCCUGCCUCAUUGUAUCAAUUAUGUCCAAAGGAAAAUAAAUGAAUAAGGUCAAAUACAAAAGAAAACAAUUGAUGGUUGAACACAAACUUUGUGUGUCCCUCUCAAAUCUUAUCCAAUCAUUAUAUCUAAAAAAUACAAAAAACUUGUGCUAUCUCCAGAUACAACUACAGCAAUAUUUGCUACUAUUUAUUUUAUGUUAGUAUUAUCCAAUAAUAACUCUUCAUGAAACUUAUUGGGAAUCAUUUGAACCUCUUCCUCUUCUAACAAGCAUCCUUCAUUCAUCUCUAUCAGCUCCUUUGCAAAAAUCUCAGGCCAAGUCAUACCAUCAUCAUCAUCAUCUUCUUCUUUGUCUUCAAUGCAUUCAUCAUCAUCUUCUUUGUCCACAAUGCAUUCACCAUCAUCAUCAUCUUCAUUGUCAGGUUGAGCUAUUGGAUUUUGGUCAAUACUCUCCUAAAAAAUGAGAAUGCAAGAGCACAAUAAGGGAUUGAAUGCUCAAUACAAUUAAAAUGCAAAAUGAGUUGGUCUGAUUUACUCUAUUGUUGCAAGUAUUGUAAAAAUUCAUAGUUUAAUCCUUUGACAUAGAUGUGAUUAAAAAUAUAUUUAACUUCAAACAAGUAUAAUAUUUGACCCAGAAAUAAAAUGUGAAGUUCGACUAUAUUUGUUUUUUUUUUUACCUAUUGAACAUGAAAAAAGUUAAGGAUUAAAAUGUUUUUCAUAAAAUAGGAUUCAUAUGUUUUCAUCUAAAUAGAAUUGGUGAACUUUAUUUUUGGUUCUUAUUUAAAUUUUAUUUGUCUGUAGUUUUUAAAAUUUGCAAAAAUAACGAAUCUAAUUUUUCGAUGACUAAAAACACACUAUUAUAGAAAUGAAAAAAAUAUAUUUAACCCAAAAAUAAGAUAAAAAUAGGAAAAUCCAUUGUUGAAUACUUAAAAAUUAUAGUAACAUACUAACUGGUAAUUGAUCUAAAUUUUAAAAAUUCACAAUGAUUUCUUUAAUAAAAAUUGACCAGAUAAUUGUAUUAAUAAGUUUUAAAAAAUACAUAAUUUAUAUAGAACAGUGUCUCUAAAAAAUGUAGUACUAGAAACUCUAAUAAACCCUUACAUUACAUAUGAUCAAUUGCUAUUAAAUAUUAUGCAACAACAAAUGUAAGACUUACAAAUUUCUUGGCUGCUUCGAGUCCAAGAAUAGUUGUCUCUCUUGGCCAAAUAUUUCUCACAUCUUUUUCUUCUUCCUUAUAAUGAGACUUUGUAUUAACCAUAUUUGUGCUAUUGUGUCCACCAUUUGAUUCGUUUCUUGGUUCUUUAUAAAUUAUAUACUUUGUCAACAAAUUUUUAUUUCCCUACAUAUCAAAUCAAGAAUGCAAAAGAACAAUGUUAAGGAGAAAAACAACUAAAUCCAUUAAAUCUUGAAAGCGUAAUUCACAUCACUUGGUAAUAAUCAGCACCAAAAAAAUUAAUAACUAAUCAAUUAUCUAAAAACAAAUUAAUAAUCAAUCAAGCAACAUAAUUAUUCAAGUAACUUACAGAUAUGGUGGUUUCUGCAUGUCCAGGAACAAUGGUCUUUCUUUCUUUAUCUUGUGCAACAAUAUUCUUUCUAAAUCUGCAUAGAACAUAAUUGUUGGCCUACAAAAAAAAAAAAGAUACAAAAUCAAAUUAACUAUAUGCUUAAAAAACAAGAAAAAUCAAUAAUGUAAAUGUAUCACAUUGCUUACCAAAGAAUUUCUUAUCAAAGAUUUGUCAAGGCUAUAUUCAUGCAAGAUCCAUUCACCAUCAUGGUAAGUGCCACUAUUCUCAAAUCGAAAACAUUUUUUCACACCAAUGAGUUGGUUCUUGUUUUUUGCAACUAUAAUUUUUCCAGUGUCUUCUUCACCUUCCCAUGCACCAAUUCCAAUAGAACGAACUACUUUUGAGUUAGUGGUAGUGAAGAAAUAUAGGUCUUUUUCACAAUAUGAGCAAGAAGCUCCAAAUUCUUCCCAAAUAUCCCAAGGAUUCUUUAGGGUACCAAAUAAAUCGUAUUCAAGAAUGGUGAUAUAAUUGGGAAGAGAUUUGUUAUGGAUUUUGUUGUAGAGGAAUCGGAGAAGUUCAUGAUCUUUGAGUGUGAAUUUGAAAUCCUUACUUGAAGAAGAAUUGAGAGCCAUCGAAUCGAAACUAUAAUCGUACGAAUGGAUUGAAGAACAAUGAUGUAUAUAUACGUUUGGUAAUUUAAUAAUAAUAAUAGUAAUAAUAAUAAUAAUAAUAUUAUCAUAUAAAAAAAAAUCGUGAUUUGUACCCCGAAAACAAAAGUCGUGACAUAUUUUGGUAAAAAAAAAACAAAGACUUGUAUCUUUUGAUAUAUCUACAAUUUUUUUUUCUUCUCACCUUAUAAUCUUCUCACUCACCCUAUUGCAUUUUUCAAAAUUAAGCUCGUUGUUCGGAUUAUAUAAUCUGAACAAGGUUUAAAUUCUACAAUUCAAACACGGUUUCUAUUAUAUAAUCUGAAAUAUGUUUAUAUAUAAACAACAAUUAGUUCUGUUGUCAAAGCAAAAAAGCGGCGCGGCGCGGCCACCUCAAAAAUUGGCACGGCGCGAAAUGCGAGCGCGUAGCGGGAGCUUUUACAUAAUGCGGACACUAAUAUAUUUAAUAUUAAAAUACCAUAAUAUACAAAAAAUAUACUAAAAUACCAUAAAUAUUUUUGAAUUGAAUAAAAAAAGAACUGCAAUUAGACACAAGCUGUAUAUUAAUAUUAAGUAAUAUAAGUAAUAUAUUUAUUAUUAAGUAAUAUAUUUAAUAUUAAGUAUCUAUGUACUGUGAUAAAAAGAACUGCAACUGACACAAGCUGUAUAUAAAUAGUAAAAAGAACUGUGAUAAAAAAAGAAAGGAAAAAAAAAAAGAAUGCAAAGUAUUGUACAGCUGUAUCCCACUUUUGUUGAAACAAAAUGUGUUUAACAUUACCCUUUGAAAGUUUUGAUGAUAACAAGGUAUUAAAAAAUUGUCAAUUGGAUAUGCUAAUACUUAUUCAAGUGUACAGGACCAUAGACAAAAAUUUGACAUCUUAAAAAGGUUUUGGAAGAACAAAAGAGAGCAAAUGAAUCAACAAAAAGGAAGCUUGAAGCAUCUGAAGAGAAGCGCUCCUGAAGACAAAAGUGCUCCUGAAGUGAUGACAUCAUCAGAAGCAAGUUUAUCAGAAGCAUCUCAUCAGAAGCUAAAGAUCACCAGAAGCUCUAGUUCAUCAGGAGAUGCAAGACUUAAAGCUUCAAAGGCUGUUCAAUGGAUUUAAUCUUGUCUAAGCAUUGCAGAAGACUGGAAGAGUAAAACAACGACUAUUUUGAAAGGAUUUGAAGGCAUUGGAUGCUUGUUCUUCAAAGAGCGUUGACAAAGUACAAUUGUACGAAGUGUACAACCACUAUCUCCACUACUCUGUUUUUGUCUCUGCUACAAGACAAGAAAAACAACUCUGCCUGCAAUGAUGUUCCUUCACAAUGGGAAUGGAUUUGAAAUUGAUCAUUCAUAGGACAAUAACCAUAUCAGGCAAAAGAUAAUGGGUGAUUGAUCAAAGCUUCAAACGACUCUAUUUUGAUAUGCUAGCAAUUCACAACGUCUCUUUCACACCUCUAUAAAAAGGAGUGAAGACUUAGAGAAUGUCAAUGCAUGAAAAAAGACUCAACAACAAUUUACAAAGUGUCAAAGCUCUGAAAUUGUUCUGCAUUCAAAAGUUCACUUAUAAUUUCUUAUCAAAGUUCAUAUCUUAGAAAUUCUAGAGUCUUAAGAGUCUGUAUCUGAUUUGUAUUGGGACCACUGAUUGUAUAUCAAGUGUUCAACCUCAAACAUUUUUCUAGUAAUUCUGUUUGAAUUAAGAAGUCUCUUGCAGUUGUGCUUGAGCAUUAGAAGUCUCUUGAUUGUGUUCAAGAGCAUAGAAAGUCUCUUGCAGUUGUGCUUGAGCAUUUGAAGUCUCUUGCUAGUUUUAGCAGUGAGCAAUUGUAAUAAGAUAUUACAUAGUGAACUCUCCUUGGAAGUGCAAGGGGGACAUGACUGACUUCCGGUUUGUGGAAGGAACCUGUAUAAUUGCUUUGUGUCUCUCUCUCUCUCUCUCUCUCUGUUUUUAUCCGCUGCAUCUAGUCCUGAACAUCACUUCAGAAGUAGAACUCUAUCUGAUUCUGAUCAAUGUUUUCAGGUUAGGAGAAAAAGAAGAAAAAGCCAACACAAUUCAACCCCCCCCCCCCCCCCUCUCUUGUGUUUUUCUCACCUUCAAUUGGUAUCUAGAGGCUUGGUCUGUUGUCAAAACACUUAACAGUGUAACAGAAAAAGAUAUGAGAAAAACAUGUCUGGUGUGCUUGAGCAUAGGAAACCUCUAGCUUUUGUGCUUGAGAAAAAAUGUAAUCAAAUAUUGAUUUUAGUGAACUCUCCUUGGAAGUGCAAGGGGGACAUGACUACUUCCGAUUGUGGAAGGAACCUGUAUAAUUGCUUUGUGUCUUUCUCUUCUCUCUAUCUCUUUACAUUAUCCGCUGAAUAAGAUUCUGAACUUUGUUCAAGGGUCUGAACUCUAUCAGACUCUGAACACUGGACUUAAUUUUAAAAGAAGAAAAAGCUAACACAAUUCAACCCCCUCUUUUUGUGUUUUUCUCACCUUCAGUGGGUAUUUCAAGAAACAAAUUAUUCUUCCAUUUGUUUAAUGUCCAAAAAAGAUGAAGUCAAGCCCCACAAAAAGUUUGGGCAUCUUAAUCUAAAAGGGAUGAAGAAUAUCAUAUCUGAAGAAGCCAUCAAAGGAUUACCAAAGCUCAGAAUUGAGGAAGGGAUAGUUUGCGGUGAGUGUCAAAUUGGAAAGCAAACCAAGAUUUCGCACCUGAAGUUACAAUAUCUGACUACUUCUAAAGUUCUUGAACUUCUUCAAAUGGAUUUAAUGGGACCUAUGCUACUUGAGAGCCUUGGUGGGAAGAGGUACGCUUUUGUGAUUGUUGAUGAUUUUUUCAAAUUUACGUGGGUAAACUUUAUCAAAGAAAAAUUAUGUACUUUUGAUCUCUUUAAAUACUUUUGCUCCUGUUGCCCGUCUUGAAUCAAUCAGAUUACAAUUAGGAGUUGCUUGCAAGUUAAAAUUCAAAUUAUUUCAGAUGGAUGUGAAAAGUGUUUUCUUAAAUGGGUACUUGAAUGAGGAAGUAUAUGUUGAACAACCUAAGGGUUUAAUUGAUUCCAGCUUUCUAGAUCAUGUGUACAAUUUAAGAAAAGCUCUUUAUGGUUUGAAGCAAGCACUAGGGUUUGGUAUGAGAGGCUAGCUGAAUUUCUUGUCAAUAAUGGGUUGACAAUCACAUUAACGCCCAAUGUUGCAUCAUUGAACAUAAUAGUGACAAGGAAGUUUUGUUUAAGGGUUUGCGUGUUGAUAAUGUAUAUGUUCUUGACUUAGAUGAUGUAUCAUCAAGUUGAUCUAAGUGUAUCAUGGUUAUGAAUGAAGAUUAGACGACUUAGUCAUGUCCACUUUGAUUUGCUAAACAAAGUAUUCUUCAAAGAUUGAGUGAUUGGCUUACCUAAAAUUAAUUUUGAAAAGGACAAAUUAUGUGAUUCUUGUCAAAAGGGGAAGCAAAAUAGAAUUUUUUUAAACUCAAAAAUGUUGUUUCUACUUCAAAAUCUCUAGAGUUUCUACACCUUGAUCUUUUUGGCCUCAAAAACAAAAAGUCUAAGCGGUAAUUAUCACGAUCCAAUUUUAAAGAUCAUGACCGGUGCCAAACUUUUAGCCUAGUUUGGCAAGCCUUGAUCAAUAUAUAGCCAAGUUCGAAAAACAAAUAGUCGAUUAUUUUGAAGAAACUAACUUUUUAAUAUUUUUCAUUACAAAUUAGAAACAUAUGAGACAAACAUGUCUUACAUAAGAACUACAAGUAUACACUAGAGGCAAAGGAAAUUACUAUACAUGAAUGCCAGGAAAAUUAUUACACUCAAUAUCAAUGUUAACACUUUUUUUUAUACAUAAGAGCCUCAUGAAACCCCUACGAUCGAUACAUAGAGGAUACAUUCAACUGAUACAAAGCUAAUCAUCUGAAAUAUAAUAGAGAGACAAUGUGAGUCACAAGUGAGAUAAUAAUGAGAAAUAUAACCAACAAGACACAUUAAUAUUAAAAACAAAGAAAAUUAUUUCCAUAUAAAAUUGACAAUUUAUCAAAUAAAUGUAUAACACCAACUCCUAGAGUUUAACUCGAGUACUAAUAAUUAUACAAAACUAUAAUAGGGUCCCCGAAUUUAAACGUGAUACCUUGAGUUUCAAACAAGUGUGGAUAUUUAUCUCGCAUUGCGUCCUCUAAUUUCCAAUUUCCUUAUUUCGAAAUUUCUUGACUUGCCGAUCAACAAUAACCAAAGGCUCUUAUUCAUAAAAUAAAUCUUUAGCCAAAGUUGCCCUACCAUUAACUCUAACUCUUGGCGACGUCGAUCAACAUAUGAUUUUUGUCUACUCUGAGCGACCAAUAACCUAUCUCGAAUCAUCGUCGCCUUUUCUAACUUCGCCUAACAUAAUUCGAACCAACCAAUCAGCGAUCUACAUUGUCUUCCAUAAAGUGCUGAAAAGGGUACCAUCUGAAUACUUGCUUGAUAGCUAUUAUUAUAAGCAAACUAUACCAAGGGAAGAUGUUUAUCCCAACUACCUCCGAAAUCCAUUACACAAGCUCUCAAUAUAUCUUCCAGAAUUUGAAUAGUUUGCUCUAUUUAUCCGUCGGUUCACUACUAAAAAAACAAAAAUUAGUGAGGGAAAUUUAGUGAGGGAAAACGUAAAAUCGCUCUCUAAUUCCGUCACUAAAUUUUGCGAUCAAAGAAUUUGUGAGGAAUUUCAUUUUUUCCAUCACUAAUUUCCCUUGCUAAUUUUGCUUUUUCUAGUAGUGGUUUGUGGAUGAGAGGUUGUGCUAAGAUCUAACCUAGUUCCUAAACUAUAUUGAAAAGCCUUCCAAAAUCUAUAUUAGAAUAUCUUUUUUUUUCACUUCCAACAUUCAUGUACAAAAUUAAUUCCUCACUAUGAUCUUUAUCAGCAAGAAGAUGUAAACAAAACUAUAAAGUCUGAAUUUUAUGCUAAAAAGGUUCAUUCCUAUAUUUCAUAAUUAUUUUUCUCAUACUUUAAUCAAGGGAAAAAACAUUAACUAAGAGAAACCAAAUGUCAAAUUCUCUUGUAACUUGAAACCAUAAACUUAGAUCAUGAGUAGAAAAAUAUACAUAACCUCAAGUUUACCCUCUCACAUGAUGGCAAGCUCUACCUCAAAGGUAUUUCUUCAGUGUUUACAUAACUAAAAAGUCCUAUCCCAACGUCUUCUAUUUGAUUCUGUCUUAAACAUAACAUAAUUCCUAAUUGAUAAUUAAAGUUAGUAUGUACUCUAAUUUGAAUAGUCUCAUAUAGCUUAAAAGUUUUCACACUAUAAUAAAAAAAACAACUCACACCGGCCCAAAUUUAGUGACACCUUUCAAACAUUGAUAACAGUCUACAUAGUUUCAUAACUGUGUAGUAUCAACUACACAAUAUAAUUUAGACAAACUUCUCAAGGAGCAUAAAACUACCAUACAAAUUUCUCUACUACUACCAUGGUACUCAAAUUUCUUGAAUACAAUUACAUCUUCUCUUUUUUUUUAUUUUACAAGUUGUACUAAUAAUUCUUAUCACAAACUUUAUUCUUCUAAAUUCAACAAACCAAGAAAAGAUAUAUUAUUGUAAAUUUUAGGGUUAAUAUGUCUUUACCCCUGUAAUGUUUUUUUGUUUUGAUUUACCCCCCUAAUAGGCCAAACAAAUACGAUUUUUUUUUUUCAAGAAUUUUUCGUUUUUGUUUGGCCUAUAAAAAAAAAUUACAGGGGGUAAAUCAAAAAAAAUAUUUUACAGGGGAAAAAACCGGAAAUGACCUAUAUUACAGGGGUUAAAGACCUAUUAACCCUAAAUUUUAUAUUACCUUAAACGAAAGCUAAAACACAAAAGUAUAAGUUUGACCUUCAUAUUCUGAUUCAUAUUGAUCAUUUGCAGCCAAUCAUGCUAAUUCAACCACCCUGUGUUCAUUGAAAAUGCAUUGUCUUCACAUUUAUAAGCAUUAUUUUCUACAUCAAAUGGAGAAGGAGUUUAAACAAAUAAUAUAAGACAUGGUUUAGAUUCAAUUUUUACUCACAAGUUUUCUAAGUUGCUGAGAAAUGGAUUGACAGUUGAUGCCGGUCGAUCAGAUUCUCCGUAUCAACACAAAUACUUGUUCUCCCUCAUCUUUAAUUUCAUGAAAUCUCUGGCAGCGUGAAGGGAUUAGAAAGGAGUGUUUGUUCGCCUCUGAAGUUUCUGAUGUGCUGUCUCUACAUUGCAAUCAUGAUCAUUACUGAGAAAAACCGUAGAGAGAUCUGCAAACACCUUUUCCAAGAGGAAGUUUUGUAUGCAAAGAAGGAUUUCAAUUUGGCUAAUCACCCAGAGAUUGAUGUGCCAAAUCUGCAAGUGAUUAAGCUGAUGCAAAGUUUCAAAUCUUGGGCUUUUUGGAAGCUUUGUUUUACCUAUAUCAUUCACUUUCGAAUUCUGCUCUUCCCCCAGCACAAAACACUCGCGCCCAACAUGUUUUCUAAAUAUAACCCUACGUGAGUUAAGUCGCGCAGCGUGACUUAAGUCACGCACCUCACAAGCUCUACGUGACUUAAGUCACGCACCAUUGAGCCUCUACACGAGUUAACUUGCGCAAGUUAGCCGGUGGUAAAAACUGAAGAAUAUACGUUUUUUGGACGGUGGUCAUUGCUUUUUAUUGGUUCUUACACGUUUUUUUUUAAGUUUUUCUCACGUUUUUGGAUCUCAUUAAGUGUUAUGCUACCUUAAACCACGUAUAAAUACUCUUACAUAGUUUCUCUUUUCCUCACAUUAUCUCCUCCCACUCUCUCCCCCUCUUUCUCUUCUUCUUUUUUGCUUCUAUAGUCUCUAGGCUUUUUAUACCCCUUUAGAUAAAUACCAGUGGCUUUUGGGGGAAGUAGUGGUCCGUUCCGUUUGUUUGGGGAAAAAGACAUCAUCCUUUGAGGUAAAAUUAGGUUUGCUUCCUUUUACUCCCAAUUUUUUUUACUGUGGGUAAAAAGAUCAUCAUGGGGGUAUAAAAGGAACCAAAUUUAAAUUUAACUCAAGGGAUUUUGAUGUCGUUUUCCCCAACAGGACGGAUCACUAUUUUUCCCAAGAGCUAUUGGUAUACACUGAAGAGGGUAAAAUAUGUGUUAAUUAUUGUAAUUUUUGAAUGAUAUUAAUAAAAUGAGAGUUAAUUAAUUUUAUUUUUUAUUUGUAUUUAUUUUUGCAUUUAUUUUAUGUUUAUGAUUAUGUAUUGAAUAAAUAAAUAUUGAAUAAAUAAAAUCAAAUAUAGCAAAUAAAUAAUUUAGAAUAAAGUGAUAAAAUAAUUUAUAAUAAAGUGAUCAAAUAAUUUAGAAUAAAGUAAAUAAAAUAUUUUAGAAUAAAUAAAUAAAAAGUAGCCACUUUGCGCCACUUAACUUGCGCUAGUAAACUAGCGCAGGGGCAUUUCGGGCAUGGUUGCAGGGUGCGAGUGUUUUGUGCUGAGUUUGUUAAUCAUAUCUCUUAUAAGUGAUCAUGGUGGUGAGUUUGUUAAUCAGCGUUUUGAAGAAUUUUGUGACGAGUUUGGCAUUUCACAUAAUUUCUCAUGUCCUAGAACUCCUCAACAAAACAGAGUUGUUGAAAGAAAGAAUAGAUUUUUGAUAGAGUUAGCUAGGACCAUGAUAAAUGAAAUGAAUCUUCCUAAGUAUGUUUGAGCGGAUGUGAUUUAUACCGCAUGACAUGUCUUACAUAGGAUUGUCAUUAGACCUAUCCAAGAUAAGACACCCUAUGAAAUACUUAAAGGAAAAAAGCCAAACUUAUCAUAUAUGAGAGUUUUCGGUUGCCAAUGCUUUAUUUUAAAUAAUGAAAAAGAUAAGUUGGAAAAUUUGAUGCAAAAGCUGAUGAUGGUAUCUUUAUAGGAUACUCAUCUAAUAAAAAGACAUAUAGAGUUUACAAUAGGCAUACCCUCAUGUUGCUUUUGAUGAGACACCUCCCCAAGUGGUUUGGAAAGGUAUUUCAGGUUUUGAUGUUGCAUGAAUAGAUACCGAGGAUAUUGUCAUGGAUGAUGACCAACAAGAAACUUCUCCGAAAGAUGAGGACAACAAGGAAAAGGAAUUUGAGGGAGAUUUCCAAGAGGAAGAAAAACAAGAAACCUUACCAUUGCUUCCACAUGAUUGGAUCACUGCGAGAGACCACCCCUUGGAGAACAUUCUUGCUGACAUUAGAAAGGGAGUAAGUACUAGGUCUCACGUAAGUAACUUAUGUGGUUUUACCGUUUUCGUCUCACAAAUUGAGCCUAAAACCAUAAAGUAAGCAAUAAUUGACGAAUGUUGGACUCUUGCUAUGCAAGAUGAACCCAACCAAUUUAAAAGAAAUCAAAUUAGUCAAUUGUUUUCUAAAUUGCUUUCGCUAAAAACUCGAUAAUUUUUUUUAAACACUAUUCACCCAUUCCUCUAGCACGUAUCCAUAUUCACCAUAUAGACCAACAAGUGGCAUCAAGAUCCUUGUCUCUUCGCUAACGGUUAACUACCGGAAGAGUUGAUUGAUAUGGCAAAUAAGGAGAUAAAAGGGGCUUACAAUAGAGAACCUAUUUUCGACGGCAAAAACUUUGACUAUUGGAAAGAAUGAAUGAGCGUUCAUAUUUAAUCGGUUGACAUGGAUGUAUGGGACUGUUAGCCUGUAUUUUCAAAAGGCUAAUUUAAUACGAUCAACAUUAGUUGACUUUUAUCUUUGCAGGAAUCGAAGUCUUUUCCUUUAAACUUGAGUAGUUCGACGAGAUGCGGACUUAGCAUAAAAAGGUCUAAAACCUUAGAGUUUGACAAGACGUGAAUCAAGGAUGCAAUGUCGUCGAAGCCAAGAAAUUCCUCUUGAGGUGGGAAGAUUUCGAAUUUCAAAGAGAAGCGGUUUCCUCAGUUGAAACGUGGAAAACAAGCGGUUGUCUACAUGGAAGAAGUGUUGAUCGUGAGAUUAUGCUUUUUCCAGUUAUUUUGAUAAAUAGUAAUUUUCCAUAGAGGAAACGGGUCGCAAAUCACUUAUGGAAUUUCUAUAACAAUCGAAGUACCGUCGCAAGAGAAAAGAGUUAUAAAAAAUGUAUGUAAAGGAUCUGCUGAACCACCUUUAUUUUUAAUGCAAUGUAGUUUAUCUUUCCUUUAAAUUCUGCAAUUUUAACUUUCAGCCUUUUAUCUUGCAUUUCUUUUUGCUUUAAAACUUUUUUCUGUCGAAAGACGCCAUACGGUCUUGUCCUAUUAAUUAAGCAACCUAUGAACAUGAUGAACGUGAACUCUCUUUUUUUAAAAUAAAUGCACAACAUGUCCUAGGAUUUCUGGUUUGAUCAUGUUUGUAAUAAUCGAAACCAGCUUGUAUUGUUUACCAGAAACACCGGUAAACAAAUUGGCACGCCCGGUCGGACCUUGUUUGUGCAUCAUUUUUUUUUUAAAAAUUCAAAAAACCAUUUGGAAGAAAUUUCCAAAAUUUUCUAUAAAAAAAAAAAAAAAACCUUUUUGGUGAAAACAGUUUUAUGAAAAUUAGCAACAAUCUGUAGCAAACUUUUUCUAAAGAAUCUUUCGCAUUUUUGUGCAUGCAUUUAAGAAGUGGUAAAGCUUUGAAGAUAAUGAAUAAAUCCGCCAAUACUAGAGCUUCUAUGUCAUUACAAUCAUUAUAAUCCUCUUCACAAGCACAAUUUACAUGGGCAUCCGCCCUGUUAGUGGGUGCUAGUGUAUCAAAGACCAUGGGGGCAACCAUGGCCAUGCCAGUUUCGACGGAAAUAGGAGUACCGAUUCCAUAACCGCUCCAACUAUAACCGCUACAUGGACGCAACUAGAAAUGGUGACCUUUCUGUCACCAUUUACCGUUGGUGUACCCGUGUCUACAAGUAUCCCUGACUCUCCUAACCCUCAAGUUAGGGCUAGAUUUGAUGAUAGGGUCGUAAAUAUGUAGAACUUCUCUAAGGACUAACCGUAUGGUAUGCCAACUUCAAUGAUGGAAAAUUUGCAUAACAAUCCUGAAUUCACAUAACAUGCAAAUCCAUUUAAACCGUUAAAUAUGCAUAGUCCUUUAAGUUCUUGCCUUUUUGGCAGAAAUGGUCCAGCAACCUUAACUACAGAAUCUAUGAUAUUGUUUAGGCAACAAAUGGACGAGAGCAAUCAUGAGAUCAUUAAUUUGUUAACACAACAUAUUGGUAUUGUGUUUAAUCAUUUGAUUUAAAGUAUGAAUCAAAGUUACCAAGCUUUAGCCACUCAAAUGGGGAGAAUAACAUAUUCCUUCGUCCCUCCAUAAACUGUCUAUCAACGGAUCCCUUAGAUCCAAAAUAUCCCACAAAUCCAAAAUACUCAACAUUUGAAAAUUUUCGACCCUUUGGAUCAAGGACAACAACAUGUGCCACAACCUUAACCGGUUGAACCAAUGAUACAAGCAGAGCCAGAGGUAAUUUUGGUAAAGAGAAAUAACGAUGCAGAUAAAGUUGUUAGGAACUUCCAAUAACAAAAUAUCAUAGCACUUAAUAACAUAGUCAAUUUGGUUGAAAAUAUUAUGGCUCAGAAUGGCUUAAACAUGGGUUUACAUAGGGAAAACUUUGUACCUCGUCUGUUAAAAUAUGUUCUACAAACUGAACUUCCCAGGGCUUGUGAAAUUCCUAAGUUCACAACGUUUGUUGGUGAUACCAGUGAAUCUACGGUCGAAGAUAUAACACAAUAUUUGACUGAGGCUGGAGAUAUAGCAAACAAUGAGAAUUUUGUUGGAACAAAAUAUGUUUUACAAUAAACCUUAAUGAGUUUUGAUGAUAACAAGGUAUUAAAAAUUGUCAAUUGGUUAUUGCUAAUAAUUGUUCAAGUGUACAGGACCAUAGGCAAAGUUAAUCAAUUCAAUAGGUCUUGGAAGAACAAUAGAGAGCAAAGGAAUCUAAAGCAUCUGAAGAAAACUGCGUCUGAAGCUAUGAAGUGCUUCUGAAGUAACAAGUGCAUCUGAAGUGAUGACGUCAUCAGAAGCAGAAGUCUAUCAGAAGCAGAAGUCCAUCAGAAGCAAGAUUUCAUCAGAAGCUACAGUUGAUCAGAGGAUUCAAUCUGAAAUCACAAAGAGCUGAUUCUUUACGUUAACCUCGUCUACGAAAGCAAAGGAUCAAAAGGGAAGUGCCAACGCUCAUUUGAAAAGCACUGAGUGCUUGUACCUCAUUGAAGAGUUGACAAAGUACAAGUGUACAACCACUACCUCCACGACCCUGAGCAUGUCCUCGCUACAAGACAAUAUAACAGCUCUGCCUGCAGAAUUGUUCCUUCAAGAUAGGAAUGAAUUUGAAUUUGAUCCUUUAUAGGACUACACUCAAAUCAGGCAAAAGAUUACUGAUGGAUGAUCAAAGGAACUCAACGACUCUUUAGACGUGCUAAAAAUCUCAACGUCUCUCUACUCACCUCUAUAUAAAGGAGUGAAGACUUGAAGAUUGGCAAGAGACAUCAACACAAGUUAAAAGCGCCAAAACUCUGCCAAAUUUGAUUCUAAAAAGCACUUUGAAUUUCUGCACUGAUUUGAUAUAUCUUAGAAAUUCUUAAGUCUAGAGUCUUUAUUGCAUUGUAUUGUGAACACCACUGAUUGUAUAUCAAGUGUUCAAGUCAAACAAUUUUCUGUGUAAUUCUGUUUGAUUAGAAGUCUCUCGCCUGCGUGCUUGAGCAUUAGAAGUCUCCUGCUUUAGUGCUUGAGCAUUGGAAGUCUCUCGCCUGCGUGCUUGAGCAUUUGAGAAGUCUCAUACUAGAAAGUAUUGAGCAGUUGUAAUCUGUGUGAUUAUUUCUUAGUGGAAAUCUCCUUGGAAGUGCAAGGGGGACUGGACUACUUCCGGUUUGUGGAAGGAACGAGGAUAAUUGCUUGUGUCUCUCUUUCUUUUCUCUGCUCUGUUUUUAUUCCGCUGCAUAUCUGAUUAUGAACAUCACAUCAGAAGCAUUCCCAACCAGUUUCUGAAGUGAUACCAGAAGAAGAAUUUAUUGAGAAAAAGAAAACACAACUCAACCCCCCCCCCUUCUUGUGUUUUUCUCACCUUCAAAUUUGAGAUUAAAACUCUUUACAGAUUCUCUAACAAAGAAUGUCUUUACGCGGUUCACCACGCUUAUACCGCAUUCCAUUCAACAUUGGACUCAAUUAGAUAGGCUAUUUCAUGAACAAUUUUACAUGGGCCAAUCUAAGAUAAGUUUAAAGGAAUUACCGAAUCUAUUGAUGAUUAUUUGAACAGAUUUAGAUUGUUAAAGGUUAGAUGUUUUACUUAAGUCUGUGAACAUGAGUUAGCCGAAAUGGCCGCUGGUAGCCUAGAUUAUUCCAUCAGGAAGAAAUUAGACACUCAAUACUUGAGAGAUAUUUCCCAAUUGGCCGACAGAGUUUACAGGUCGAAAGACUGAUGGAUGAAAAGGCUAGAACUCAUAAAUAUAUAAGAGAAAAGGUUGCUUUCAUGGAAACAAAUGAAAGCGAGUAAGAAUUCGACAUAGCUUAUGAAGACGUCGAAGAUGGUGAGGUUAAUGUUGUUGAAUAGAAACCUAGACCUCCUUAAACAUGCAAACUAUUGAGGCCGUCAGAUGGGAAAGAUCCCAUCGAGACACAAAAUAAUAAGUACACUCCAAAAAUUUAUACGUUCAACGUAACCAAAUUAGAUGAGAUUUUUGAUCUCUUAGUUGCUGAUGGUCAAGUGGCGGUACCUAUUGGAUUAAAAAUUCCACCACUAGAGCAGCGUAAAAAGAUGGGGUUUUGUAAGUAUCAUAACGUUUUAGGACAUAAGACCUCACAUUGUGUACUUUCUCGGGACUUGGUGCAAAGAGUUCUGAAUGAAGGCAAGCUGGAGUUUAGAGAUAAAACAAAGCCUCAAAUGCAAGUGGAUGUAGAUCCCUUAAAGGACGUCAAUCCAAUGUACACUGAAGUUGCAACUUGUAACGUAGUGGAAGCGAUUGUGGACGCUGUCGAAAAUAUAUCUGUUGAAGCAAAACUUGAUAUUGCUUAAUGUAACACCCUAAGCCCUUAAAACAAUAAAUUACGCAAAUAAUACAAAUCAUGCAAAGGAUUUAGAUGCUACUUCUUCUAUAAGUUCAACAUGCAUAAAUAAUUUUCUCAAAACAUCGUAGUGGAAUAAUAAUAUCAUCACAUUAAUAGCUAAAUAAAUAUCUCCAAGUAGCCAUGUCACAUAAUCAUACUACAUCACCAAAUAUAAAAUCUUAUCUCAACAAACUGAAUGAUAUACUAUCAAAUAGUCAUAGAAUGUAGAUAGAUAAACACCCUAAUCAGAGCCGACACACUAAGAAUCUCAAGAUAAAAGACGAGGUAGCUCCAAAGCUAUCCUCCAACAACUCACCAAACAAAGAAAAACUACUCCUAUACAUCGUCUACCCAUCCAUACGAAUAAGGUAGGCGGUAAAUCAAACGAACACUAGGGGUUAGUGUUGGUGUAAGCCCUAGAGGCCAAUAGUUUAUGUUAAACCUAUCUUAUGUAUCAUGACUUUUAUUAUUGAAAUAAUAUAUGGCACUCUUUAUUAUAUUUAGAUAAUGUUAAUAAAGUCCUUAGAAUAGAAAGUUCGUGUAAUAAUAUAUUAAGUGUGACUUAAUCAUGAGAUUACAUUAUCUUAUAGAACGCUAUUCUUAAAUAUAUAUAUUCGUAGUCAAAGCUUUAAUAUGAAUAAAGGAUAAUAAUAAAGCGUCGAGACUAUUAUGUAUGUAGACUGAUGACCGCAUCUCAUGGGUCAUAGAUAUGAUAUAUCAAGUCUAUACAUAGAUAUAAAUAUUGGGAGUAAUAUUUUUAUUGGAUUGACCCACCGUGAGAAUACUACAUAGUAAGUUAUGAAAUUGUCAUAAGAUAUUCUCACAAUGAUAAUAAUGUAUAUCGCUCUUAGACCUGAAACCACUAUGAUCACUAGAUGUGGACUCAAGUGCUUUGUUGCCAUUCUAACGUUGUCUAUAAAAGGAUAAUCAUAACGUUGGUUGAUGGCUACUUGAUGAAUCAUGCUAAGGGGCAUGAGUGUCCUAGAUGGGAUUUGUCCCUCCUCAUAAACAGGAGAUAUAUCUUUUGGCCUCUUGAUGAAAUAUGACUGUAAAACUGCAUGGCCAUGCCGAACUAAGUCAAUAUGAGAUAUUGGACUUAUUCGUUAUUCAGUAUAUUUCGGAAUCAAGAAAUAUGAUUUUUUAUCUAUACAAGGGUGACAAUACCUAUGCCUUGAGAUCAAUAAAAGGUAUCGAGACAAAGGAGUACUUGUACACAUAAAUAUUAUCAUGAAAGGUUUCGUCAGAUCACUUGACAUUCUUGUCACUUGGGUAGCAAUGAUGUGUUGCUAGAUACCGCUCAUUGUUUAUAAUAUAAAUAUCAGAUUUAAUAUUAUUGCCAACGUGACUAGAACCUAUAGGGUCACACACAAAGAACAGUCAAAAGAGAAAUAUAUAAGUACGACUUAUAUAAGGGGUGCGUUUAGUAAAUAACGCUAAUUAGUUAGCAAAAUUACUAAACUCGUUAUUGGGCUUAGUGAAGUCCAAUAGUGACUUCUGACUUGCAUAGCACACAAGGAGUUCUAUAACGCUAAAGUUUGAGGUUACGCGUUUUGAAGAAACCCUAGCUCUCUGAGACUUCUGAUUCCUUGGCUAGCACCGAGUUUUGGAGGAGCACUGUUCGUGUGGACUUGCUAGAGGCUUUGCUGCUUGCUGCUUGCUUUGCUGUGAUCGUGAUUCCGUUUUCAGUUCCAGCUUUUAGUUUUCAGUUUCACACUUCGAGGUAACAAUCGAAUCACUGAUUCAUGUGUAAUUCGUAAUGAUCCAAGGAAAGAAAAUCGAAUUAUUUCCGCUGCUUAUUCUGUUUUAAAAAUCGAUUUUCCUUCAGUUAGUUCACAUUUCAUAAUCAAAACAUAAUCAAGUGAAAAUAAACGACAUAAUUUAAUUUCAAAUGAUUAAGCAACUCAACAACAAUAAUAAUCAUCAAACACACAAGUAUAAUAAUACGCAAGUACAUUUGCACAUCUUAUAUUCACCAAUUUUCACCAAGUAUACAAUUCACCAAGUUUACAAUUCACCAAUGCAAUUAUUCACCAAACACGUAAGCAAGUACGACACCUGUCAAGUUAUGCAAUGCGCCUAGACACGACUCUAUAUUCAUGUGGUAUCGGUCAUCGUCAAGGUCAUCACCUCAAGAUACAAAUGUAUCAUAAACAUCGUCUCUUGAAUACAAAGUAUUCUAAACAUCUCUUCUAGACACUUAUGAAGGCAUGACCAUAUGAAUCAACAAUGCAUAUGGUCAUACAGUGAAUCACCAACAUAAACACCAACAUUUCUCUUACAUGAAUUCACCACCAAAAUUAUCACCAAUUUGCAUGUAAGAAUUCAUCACCAAUAAUAAAUCACCAACAUGAAAAUCAUCAUCGUAAUUAUCAUCAAUCACAAUUACCUUAUGGAAAACAACAAGUUUCAAGUCACCUUUCACAUAAUGACGGAUAACUAUCCAUACAAUGAAAUUUAUCAUAUUCAUCAUCAAUUAAUUCACAAUCUAUCAUACUAACAUGAAUUCAAAAUCUUUUACAAGUUAUCCGACAAUAAAGUAUUAAUUUGACAAAGUUCGUAUAUGUUUAUAAAAACUAGCAUUUUCCGAUUAUUCAACCAAAAUCAAAGCUACCAAGUUCAAAGGCCUCAACUAAGUACAUACACAAUUCACAUAUGAGUGCAGUAGCAUAUACAUAUACGUAUCAUAGGCCAAUUCUGAUUAAUUCCAAAAUUCACCUAAGUUUGUUUCAUUUUAUCAUUUUUCAAAAGAAUUCCAUUUUCAAAACAAAACCAAGUUAAAGCUCAUCAAUAUCAUCCAAAACAUUUUUAUAAAUCAAGGUUACAAUAAACAACUCUAACCUUACCCUUUUCCCCUGAGAAAAAUGAGUUUCGGAAAAAUAUGAGUUCUUGAAUAUUUUUCAAAAAUUAUAGAGUCGACUCACAAAAUCAAGCUCAAUCCAAUUCAUUUGAUGUUUGCAAAGAUUUAGAAAGCUUGACUAUAUCAAAAGAAUCAUUUAGGAAAGUCCGGAUCGGCCCCGAAGUACCCGGAACGCCAAAAUCAUGGGUUGCAGUAAUGAGCAACUCGCCACAACGAGUUCACCAGUACAGGGAAACCCAGAUUUUGGGUUCCUCUUGGGAACUGAUCCAACUUUUUAUCCAAAAUCCCUAUUUUUGAUCCCCUUUGACCCAAAUUCGUCACCAAAACUUAUACAUUAGUUUAUAUUACAUCAAAACAACAACAAACAUGGAAUCAUAAUAUCAAUUCGAACUCCAUCAACAACAACACCAAAACUCACAACAACCACAACAAUUCGAACUCCAUCAACAUACAAACAUUCAUGAAGUGAAUUCAAACAUGUUUCAACAACAAUCACUCGCCAAUUCAUGAUUUACACUCAAUUAAUCAUAAGUCAUUAAAACAACUUAUAAACAAUAACAACUAUGAAGUUUAAGCACAAAACACUGCAAUUUCAUGAAGUUUAUCAUACCAACAAUAUCACUUGAAUUGAGAGCACAAAUUUCAUCAUUCAAAAAUCACAAAAGUCAGAAUUAACACAAAAACACUUAAACUCAUAAUUUAAAAUAAGAGAUUAUAGCUUAACUAUGAAAAGGAAACCAUCCCCCUUACCUCUAGUCUUCAAGAAUCCUAACUUUGACUUCACUUUAGCUCCUAGCUCUUCAACCCCAAACUCUCUCUCUAGCUUCCUCUUUUAUCCUCUUGAUCCACUUUCUCUCUACCUCUUAUGUUUCUGUGAAAUGAAAAAAAAUGAAGGCUUAACCUAAUUCUCACAAGAGUUAUGUUUAUAUACCACCUUCUAAUUGGUCUAGGUUUUCUAAUUUUCAUAAUCGGCUUAAGAUUAUUACCAACUAAUUCUCAAAAGUUAUUACUCAUUUAAACUGUCAAAUAAUGAAUAGUUACCGUCUCUAAAUAAUUUCCCCAACUCACUGGUAGCUUAGUAAAAAUAAUUAUUCCCAUUUAUUACACCAAAAAUAACCCUACUAAUAUAAUGACUAAAAUACCCUUCUAGACCAAAAAUUCACUAAUCCUAAAUAAAAUACACUUAAAGAUAAAUAAUCACAUACAAGCGCAUAUAAACACACAUAAUAAAUAAUUAAAACAUCUAUAGCGAAAAACGGGCUGUUACACUGAAUGCCAGAUGGUAGAAGCUUCUGGAGACCCCAAAAGUGCCUACGAAGUCAUCUCAUAAACUCAAUUUCAUGAGAAGGAGAAAGUGGUCGAUCCCAUGGCUGAAGAGGAACUAGUCGAUUUUCUCAAUCGGUGCAGGUUAAAAAAUUCGGAGAUCAUUUUGUGCCCCAAGUAUAGCUUCGUGUUCGACAAAGAGGCUACCAAAAGCUUUGAGGGUUUUAUUUCAAAAUCCAAGAAAAGAGGAAAAUGGUAUGCUGAUCAUAGACCCAAAUUCUCUUUUACUAAGAGUUAUAUUUUUUUCAUCAAUAACUAUUCGACCACUAAUUAUGUUAAUAAGAAUGGUCAAGGGAAAACUUUUGUUCCGCAUGCUAAGGUACCUGUGCGGAAAUGGGUUCAUUCGACCCAUAAGAAUGUUCAGUAUGGGAAGAACAAUGUGGUGAAUGGCAGUACUAGUAACACUGUUACUAAAAAUGUAACUAUUGAUACUGAAAGCCCAAAUGAGUCAAAUAAGUACGCCUAUCAUAGUAAUUACAAUGGCCAAUAUCCUAUGACUCGAUCUCAGUGGAGAAGGUAUCAAAGGUCCAAAAAGGGCAUCGCUGCAAGAUCUGAUAAUAAAGCGGUUGACCCUAAAGGAAAAGAAAAACUGGUCGAAUUAGUUAGAAGACCAGUGAACGAAAGGUUGUGUCUUCCUUUUAUCGAGGAAAACCCUGCUGGAGAUGAUGAAAUGAAUUUAGACUUCUUGGAUUAGAACUAGACUUCAAUGUUGUAUGCAAUGUGGUUUCCAUUUUUCCCGUGGAAUAUGACGUAGUGUCUGAAGUUGAAGAAUCAGAAGAUGAUUACAAUCUAGAGGACAUGGAGAAAUAUAAAUCCAUGUGUUGAUACGUAACAGAUUAUGGCUGUUGUGAUCAACAAAAAGCCAUAUUUGAAAAACCUAAUGGUUCUAUGAAAGGCCAUCUUAAACCAUUAUUCAUUCAAGCCAAAGUUGAUAAUGUUUGGGUCAACAAGGUGUUGGUAGAUAAAUUGCUGAUGUUAAUCUAAUGCAUCAAUCUCUACUUAAGAAGGUUAGGAAAUGUGGUACAAAUUUGAAACCUCACAACAUAGUUCUGUCAAACUAUGAGCGGAAAUCUGGGUUUUUCUCUUGGUGCUCUCCAAGUGAAUCUGUUGCAGACCGACAUUGUUCAUGGUGGUACCAUCAAAACAAACUUCAACGUGAUCUUAAGAAGAGAAUGGAUACAUGAAAUAGGUUUUGUUCCUUCACCUAUGCACCAGAUAGUUGUAAUCUGGAGGGAUGACGACUCAGUUGAAAAUGUCGAGGCAGAUCAAAGUUACUUUCUUGCUGAAGUUACUCACGUCACUAGAAAAACCUUUGAGAAAAGCUUGGCAAAAUAGCACCAUGAUGUUUUGUUGAAGAUGGUUGUAAUGACCAAAUAUAUGUGAAGUAUGUAAGGCUCGAUCUAACCCAUGGCUUCAUGUGGGAAAAGGAGAUUCCUAACACAAAAUCAUUAGCAAAAGAUGCAAUUCCCCCAUCUAGGCGGAAUGAUUAAACGAGCAUCAUGUUUGACCAAGAUGCUUGGAACAAGAUUACAACUUACUUGGCCGAAAAUAAUAUCAAUACAGCCUUAGAGUCUAAAUUAUGACAAAAGAUGGUCAUAGGAACCAUUAAAAAGGAUGUAAUCGAAACAAUUGGUGACAAACCAAAAGAAAUAAUGGGAACAAGCAAAAAACUUGAUUGCAUUAUCGAUGUUUCAGCGCAAGUCGUUUCAGGGUGUAUGAUUUCCAAAUGGAGAUUGCAAGAAUCAAUAGAGAUCAAAGAUAAAUUGGUUCCUACUAGAUGCCCUUCGACAAAAUGGUUAAUACCAAAACUUGUGGGGGCAAAAGGAGAAUUAAAUUCAAAUCUGAGUGAGCCCUUUUUGUAUCUUAAUUAUUUUUAUCCUGGAGAUUUUACAACAUCUUUUUGUAUCUUAAUUGUUUUUAUCCUGGACAUUUGCCGAAGAAGGAAAAGAGGAAGGUAUGUUAAUCUCUAUAAUGAGCCUCAAGGCCAUAGGACGAUCUUUAGCUUUCAGUUCCAAUUUUUUUUUCAUUACUCAUGAAAAUGCAUAAGGGUGGGACUGAGGGCAUGAUACGAAGGAGGGUUUUUGAGAUGAUCUGAAAACAGAUCUUAGAGGAUGUAAAAUCCAUUUCUAAGUAAGUUGUAUUUUUUUAAUACCUGGAAUGGGAAAAGGCCAAGGAAACUUUUCAAGUUUGUACCCUCUAAAAAUGUGCCAUGUGCCCCAUGAUGGGAGAUAAUGGAGAAAGUGGAACAAUCAGAAGUCAUAAUUAAAUCGCACUUACUUGUUCAGGUUAUUCCAUACGAGUCCGUUUAUUUUCGUUGGAAACAAAAUUUUUUUUUUUUUUGUUUUUUAGUCAAUGUCUUUCAAUGGAAUUAUGCUUUUAUGAAGUCAUCACGUACAAAAAUUGGAUCAAAAUUAGAUUAAAGACAAAUGCCAAAUAAAAGUAGCCGAAAUAGCAUUGAUUAAAACAAAAAUCCAGCUACUGGGCCAAAAUACAUUAAGUUGAAGGCUUGAUGAUUAACUAAAGUGUGUUCCUUUCGACACAUUACAAAAAUGAACCAAGCGAUUUCAAUGUUGAGGCAACAAGAGAGACAUAAGUUGUCUAGAGGAUAAUCUUCAUCUACACCAUGAAGUGGCGAGGUAGUGUUCCUAAAUCUUCGACUUCCAUUACAAGUGACGACAGAAGAACAAGUAAACUUGUACACUCAACCAAAGGGCAUGGACCUUAACUGAAGAUCCUCACGAGGAAAAUGAAGGCCAUCUGGAUUCAUAAUGGUACACCUGUAGUUAGCAAGUUGCUUGCGAGAGAAAAGGUCAUAAAAGGCUGAGAAAACUAUGUCUUAAAAAAAUCCCUUAGUGGCUUACACUUCUAGCAUAAUCUCAAGGAACUUGGUCCCAUCGGAUUUAUGCUUCACUGCCUUCGCCAAAAUAUUUCUGAUAAUUUCCAUCUUAGGUUGAGGUUGGAAAAUUAAGCAAGCCGCCAAUGCCACACAGAUUGAUGCAUGUCCGUUGUAGGCUAGCCUUUGCAUGAACAUGUCCUUUGUUGCACUAGGAUAAUCAUGAGCUAAAAACCUCAGAUAAUUUGUUCGAAGCAAUCUGAAUGUUGUUUUCUUGUCGACAAGUCGGCGAUGACAACGAGACGUUUCUUUGAAGGUGAAGAGAUCUCAGACCCCAAAAAACAGCUAUCUUUACGGUAAUAAAGUCUGAAGGACAAUAGUGGAAUGGUUUUUUAUGUCAAGAAAGAGGGUUCUUAUAGAUAAUGGAAGUAAUUGAGACAUUGAUGCUCUUCAUCUCUUUGUUCAAAAACUGGCGCGUGUCUUGAACGUGAAGUUAUUUUCUUGACUUAGUGGAAAAGCUGAGAAUCUCGAGAGCAACCGAUCGACAAGAUGGGGGCGCAAUAAUGAUGAGAAAGAUGGGAAAAUAUGUGAAAAUGAAGAUGAAAAGAUAGCGAAGGACGCGUGGCGUUUUGGGGGGAAUGGAAAGGUUGCAUUAACUUUUCAAUUUCAGAAGUAGUGGCCCACAAAAUCUUGAGAUCGUGUAGUGAAAGAAAACCUGAAAAGACUACCCUUGAAAGUCAUGAUUAAUAUGACAUCAUGCUUUGAAAUACUUAUAGUUUUUCAAAAUUACCAAUUAUCUCCUUCGAAUGUAUUCAGUCGAAAAUGACAUUUUUGGGAGGCAAUUUGUUAGCCUAUAUUUCCAAAAGGCUCAUUUAAUGUGGUCAACAUUAGUUGACUUUUAUCUUUGCAGGAAUCGAAGUCUUUUCCUUUAAACUUGAGGAGUUCGAUAAGAUAUGGAGUUAGCAUAAACAGGUCUAAAAACCUUAGAGUUCGACAAGAUGUGAAUCACAGAUGCAAUGUCGUCAAAGCCAAGCAAUUCCUAUUGAGGCAGGAAGAUUUCGUAUCUCAAAGAGAAGCGGUUUCCUCAAUGGAAACGUGGGAGAAAAGCGGUUGUUUACAUGGAAGGAUUUCUGAUCGUGGGAUUAUGCUUGUUCAGUAAUUUUGCUAUGUAUAAAUAGUAAUUUUCCAUAGGGAAAACAAGUCGUAAAUCACUUAUAGAAAUUCUACAACACUCGAAGUACCAGAGCGAGAGAAAAUAGUUAUUCAAACCGUAUGUAAAAGAUUUGUCGAACCACCUUUAUUUUUAAUGUUUCUUUGGAAAGCUUAAGGAACAUGAACAUGAGAUUCUAAGGCUGAAAUAUAGUGAGAAUCAGACUAAUAAAAAAGAAAAGUAACCAGUUGUUGAUGGUUGGAUUAGGCAAGUGUAUCAAAUUCUUUAAAAAGUAAUAAAGUGAUAACUAGAGUAUCGUAUCCAUAGGAAUUGUCUUUUCGUCUAAAUAAUUCACGUUACUUAUUUUUAAACAAUAAAAUAAAAUAAAGGAGUUGAGGGUUAGAGAUUGCCUUUUUUAUCUGUUUGCAACAAAUCGAGUUACCUGUUUUGGUUGUAGAAAAUGUAAGCAGCGGUUAAGAUUCUUUAAAUCCCCUCUAUUCAUUUAUCGAAUUUACAUAACAGUUAAGUCUUAUUCAAGUUAAUUCACAUAAGGGCUAUUUAAGUGAUGAGUUUUUGGGACAUGAAAUCCUAAUCAGUUGUCAAGUUGCACAUGUUGAUCGCACGAUGAUCAUUACAUGCGGGAUCCAUACUAUCUCGGUCGAUUUAGGUCUAUUCCUCCACAUGUUGAGUUGUACCUGUUGAUCACAAGGUGAUCCUUACGUGUGGGGUUUAUCUCACUCAAGCGUAAUUGCAACAUAAACUUAGGGUAGAGUUCCUAGAUUUCCAAAGGUAUGAAGGCUAGUGUUCCUGAAGGUUCUCUUAUCUCUGAAUCUUAGAAGUACAUAUCACAAUAUUUCUCUUAAUAGUUCUACAAACAGACAACCCUAUCCGCGUCUACCUAACUAAGGGAAAGAAUGGAGUUAUUGGGCUGAUUUAAGUUCUGAAGUCUUAUUUUCCUUAAUUACUAACUACUUAUUUCCUGAUUUCAGUAGAUGUUACUCAAUCUUAGUUAUGUCACCUCAUGAGUACUUACUAUCUGUGGACACUUACUUUCAGUUUGUUUCUCCUAGUUAAUAAUUAAUUACUUCCUAGAUAAACAUAUACAAAUAUCAAGAUAUAAAUAUUAAUAUUCGGCCAUGUCAUUACCUAAGUAAGGACUUUAAAUUAAAUAAAAACUAAAUAAAGAUUUUAAAUUAAAUAAAUAUCCAACAAAGUAAAAUAGAGGUUCAUUUUAGAACCCUAGCCUAAAAAGAUUUAGUUACACAUGGUAAAUAAAGACAAAUUACAAAAAGGAAGAGAGAGAAACACCUCAUGAAGCUCUUAGAAUCGCCUUCCUCUGGAAUUGCUCUAGUUCUGAACGAGAAAUUGUGAAUGACGAAUGCAACAUAUAUUCAUUUUGGCCCCGCACUUUUUGAGUGCAUGGUGCGCACACUCGAUACCCUAGGUGCAUGUGAGUGUAGCACAAACCAUGCCCUAGGCGAAUUGCUUAUGCCCUAGGCGCAUGAGUGUGCUUUUUAGGCUCUAAUUUUCAAUUUUUCUGUCAUUUUGUGUGUUUGCUUCCAUAUAAGAUGUCUUGAGACCUAGGAACAAAAUUCCUCCCUCUGUAAAUUCUAUUGAGGUUUCUUGAAUCUUCAUUCUUGAUCUUCUGAAGGUCUUCACUAAUCUUCGGAUGUUCUUGCUUUGCCAAUUUGCAUGAUUUCUUCGUGAAUUACAUCAAAAACACAUCCUAGAAUUGGUAUGUUUCGGGAAGAAUGUAAUUACCGACUCGAAUAAAGAAAACAUUACAAAUUUCCUGAAAUCAUAGGCAAUUGAUCUAAUUCUCCUCUUCUUUGCUGGUAAACCUACUAAAAAUGACUGAAAAACAUGCUAAGAAUUACGUAAGAUAACCUGUCAUCAAUGGGAAUAUCUUUUUUUGAAUCGACAUGGUUCUAACAAACUUUAAAAAUGUCCAAAAAUAUAUAUAUAUUUUGCGUUUUACUAUCACAAAGGGUCAAAAAAAUAAUGAUUUGAAAAGAAAAAAGCAAUGAUAAGUUAGUUAAGUAAUAUUCAAAUAUUAUUAUGAUUAUCAAGUUUAUGAUAUUACUCCCUUUCUAAUUGUGAAGGAACAAACACAACCCACUGGCAUAUUUUAGAGUCAUUUAUUGAUUAUUAUAAUUUUAUGAAUGGUUUUUGAAACUUCAGAAAUUCUUAAACCAAUUAAUUAUUUUGAUGAGAGCUUAUUUUGUUUUUUACUAUAAAGAGAUAAAAUCAUAUAAUAUCAAUUACAUGAAAAGAGUUAAAAUCAUGGCUAAAAUUAUGAAAUAUGUUAAUGUUCCGAUUCUAUUUCUUUCCAUACUUCUUGUCUUGAUGUCAUAUGGUUCUAAUUAUUCCCCCACGCCUUUUCCUUGUCUGACAGAUAAAGAUUGUACACGAAGAAAAGGUUUUAGUGUUACAUGUCGUAAAGGCUUUUGUGUAGAGUUCAAACAUUUUUAGUGAAACUAAUGAGUUCUUGCGCUAGAAAAAUAAUUGUACAAUAUACCUUAUGUUAGAAUAUUCCAUAAGUCAUCAUUUAGUUUUUGUUUAUGCACCAAACAAUUGUAUUUUUACCUUAAUUUUAUGCACCAUGAAGUUAUAAUUAUGUAGUCUAAUAUGAUGACAAUGAAAUAAAAUAAGGAAGUGUUUUAUUUAUAACUAAUAUGUACCCAGUGCCAAGCACGAGCCAAAAUUUGUUCAUGCUUCCAAGAGAGAAUAUCAUGAUGUAUCAAGUGUUAGUUAAAGUUCAAAAUUGGAUAAAGAUGUUGAGAAACAUAUAAGUGAGGUGAUUCAUAAACCUAUUUCCUUAAGACUUUGGGUAAUGAUGUGAUGUCAAACUCCUAUGUGUGGUUGAUGCUCAAACGUAUGAUGUAGUUGCAAAAUGACAAGUGUACCAAUCGUUGACCAAGUAAUAAAGUGAUUAGUAGAGUAUCAUAUCCUAAGGGAUUGUCCUUUCGUCCAAAAAAUUCGCGUUACUUAAUUUUAUUAAGUUGAUGGUAUUAAAGUUAACGGUUAAAAAGACUUGCCAUUUUUAUAUAUUUGCAACAGAGCAAGUUUACCUGUUUUGGUUGCAGAAAAGUAAGCAGCUGUUAGGAUUCUUCAAAUCCCCUCUAUAUAUUCAUCGUUGGAUAAUAAGCAAAGGAUAUGUCCCAUUUAUUUAUCUUAGGUAGACUAUACAAGUGAUGAGGCCGUUGUGAUGUUCCUAAUUAGGUAAGACAACACUUGACCAAAUGGGAUUUAACACUGAGUACCUAGUUAGGGUUUUCCCUCCGAUGGCUAACUGGGCCUAUUAAUCGCACAAUGAUCCUUACGUGCGGGGUCUUUAUAAUUCAAAGGUAAUUGAAACAUAAACUUUAUAUUGGCUUUCUAGUGUUUCCCAAGAAAAUAAAAGCCAAGGUUCCCUUAAGUCUGCCCAUCUAUGAAUCUUAGGACACUCAUAGCACACUAUCUCUACACUUUCUUAGUAGUUCUACAAACAGACAGCCCUAAUCUAUGUCUACCUUACAAAGGGUUUAAAGAGAAUGGUCUUGUUAGAUUUUAACUUAAAUCGGACAUCUAAGUGCUUGUUUCCCUAAUUACUAACCAAUUAAUUCCUAGGUUGGGUAAGGCACCACCCGACUUAAUGGGAUCUAUCCACUAAGUACCUACACCUAAGGUCAACAAUUCUUAUAGCAUCUUUGGCUAAUUAAUAAUCACUUAAUUCCUAGACUAAUAGUUAUCAGUAAAAGGAUAUAAAUAUCAAGAUAUAAGCAUCCAGUUAGUGAUAACAAUAUUAGGCCUUAUCACAACCUAAGUACCUAAUCUAGGGUUGCACCUCUCACAGAAAUAAAGCUACUUCCUAAUAAAACUUAAUAGCGAACAAAAGAAUAAAUAAAAUAAAAUAAACGGCAUAUUAAAUUAAAUAAAUAUCCAACAAAAAUAUACAAAGGUUCAUCUUAGAACUCUAACCUAAAAAGGUUUAGUUACAUAUGGUAACUAAAAACAAAUUACUAAAGAUAAAAACAUAACCUAGAAAAUCAUAAAAACAUAACCUAGAAAAUCAAGUAUAAUAUAGAAACUCUCCCGAAGCUCCAAAGUCGCCUUCUUCUUGAACUGCCACAGUUCUGAAUGAGGAAGGCUGGUAUUUAUAGUGAGAGUUUCUACCUGAGUUUGGGCUAAAAGUUGUGCCCCGACUUUUUGCAUGCACGGGGUGCAUAUGAAAUGCCCUAAGCGCAUGAGAGACAAGCCAAAAGCAUGUUCUAGGCUCAUAGGAAAUGCCCUAUGAGCAUGGCUUGUCAAUUCAUUCCCUAAGCAUUUUUCAAAUUCCUUAGGCACAUUAUGUCUUCCUUUCGGGCCCAAUCUCCGAUUUUCCGUCGUUUUUAAGGUCUUCGUCUUCAAAUAACUUGCCUCAAUACUUUGGGAACAAAAUUCCUCCCAUUUUUAAGUCUAUUAAGGCCUCUUGGAUCUUUAUUCUUGUUUCUUGAAUCUUCACAAUUCUUCGGAUGUUCUUGAUUUUCCGAUUUGCAUGAUUUCUUCGUGAAUUACUUCAAAAAUCCCCUAAAAUUUCUAUGUUUCGGAAAAACUAGAAUUACAGACUAAAAUAUAGAAAACAUUAAAAGAGUCCCGAAAUCAUAGGCAAUCAUUUUAAUACUCCUCCUUUUUGCUGCUAAAUCCUACUAAAAUAAACUUAAAAACAUGCUAAGAAUAAUGUAAGAUGACAUGUCAUCAAAUGUAACGUGGUAAGUUAGUUGCUGCUCAGUUAUAGAUGUGAUGAAAGACGUCCUUAGCACAAUUCCUGAAAAGUUAUGUUUUCCUGGAAAAAAAUGCAAUGAAUAACUUAUGUUUUUCUUUUGUUACUUGAGGACAAGCAACCGUUUAAGUUUGGGGUUGUGAUGACAGGUCUUUUUAUGUUAGUCUUAGCAUGUUUUUCAGUAGGUUUUACCAGCAACAAAGAGGAGUAUUAGAGCAAUUAAUUUGCUAGUUUCUCUCUCUCUAUCUCUCUAUCUCUCUCCUUCUCUCUCUCUCUCUCUCUCUAUCUCUCUCUCCCUCUAUGUGUGUGUGUGUGUUUGAUUAUAUCAGCUACUAUCAUACUAUGUGUCAGACUCUCAGCUCAUCAGACUCUGACAAGUGCUAAAACACUUAGAAAAAUAAAAAAAAGACAACAUAAUCAAGCCCGCCUUCUUGUAUUUUUCUCACCCUUAAUUGGUAUCAUAGCACGAUCUUUGAUCAUUUAAUCGUGCCAUAUUUAAAGAUCCAGAGAGAAAAAUAUGUAUGUUGAUGAGAGUGAUAUUGGACUCACUAUUUAAGGCAAAAAACAACAAUGUUGAUGUCAUCAAUGAUUAUAAUACUUCCAUUACUGAAAAGCACAAUUUUUAUGUGAGACCUCCAUCCUUCAGUGGAGAUGCUAUUCAUUUCUCAUGGUCGAAUAGAAAGAUGUACAGUAACAUCAUAGGUGUUGAUGAUGAAUUGUGGGACAUCUUUAAAGAAGGUAUCAAAUUUAUUGUUGACACAGAAGAAAUUAUGGUAGAUAGAAAGGGUCUGAUUUAGGCUGAAAGGAAAAUAUACAGGAAGCAUCACAUAGUAUGAGGGAUUCUGGUAGAUGCUCUGCUUCAUUCAAAAUAUAACAUGAUAUUGGAUAAGUCCACUGAUAAAGCCAUAACUGAGUCUCAAUGCUUUACCUAUAAGGGAAACCAACAAGUAAAGGAGGCUAAUGCUAACCAUCUGGUACAUUAGUUUGAGCUUUUUAAAACGAAGGAAGAUGAAGAUAUUGAAACCAUGUAUUCAAAGUUUCAGACUCUUGUAUCAAGCCUUCAGGUUCAGAGAAAAAUAUAUAAUGUUCAUGACAUGCCAAGAAGAUUCUUAGGAGUCUUCCUGCCAAAUUCAGAGUAAAGGUUACAACCAUUAAGGAAGAAAAGGAUUUGAAUAAGAUGACCUUCGAGAAUAUGAUAAGCUCUCUCAAGAGUCAUGAGAUUGAGCUUGUUUGAGAUGAACCUGCUAAGAAUUCUAAGUCCAUUGCUUUGACUUCUAUGGGAAAAUAAGUUAAAGCUCUUCAAGCUACUAAGUCAAAACAAGAAACUUUUUACGGAGGUUAUGACAAGCAUUUAGGUGCUAAAGAGAUGGCUUAUUUGUCCAAAAGAUUUCAUUACCUUGCCAAUAAAAAGGGGUUUAUGACGACAGGUCAUCUUACGUUAUUCUUAGCAUGUUUUUGAAUUUUUUUUAGUAGCUUUUACCAGCAAAACAGAGGAGUAUUAGAGAAUUUACCUAUGAUUUUGGGAAAUUUGUAAUGUUUUCUAUAUUUGAGUCUGUAAUCAGAGUUUUCCUGAAACAUGGCAAUUUUAGGGUGUUCUUGAUGUAAUUCACGAAAAGAUCAUGCAAAUCGGCAAAGUAAGACAUUCGAAAAUUUAUGUGGUCCUUGGGAAGACGAAGAUUGAAGAUUCAAGGGGCCUCUUACAUUGUAGAAAACACCAAAACAGGCGAAGAAAGUUUUCUACCACCACCGGAUUAGUAAUAUCCGAAUUAGGUAGAAUAAUCAAGCAAUUAGCAUUAUUGACUCUCCACUCAUAUUGGUAAUUGUGAGAAGGGCAUGGAUUCUAAGAAAAAAAACAUGGUAGUGAGGGUAUCUAAGUCUAGAUAGUAGUUUCCCUCAAUCCUAUUUAUCCCUUUGUUCAUAUUUACCUCAAAUUUCCUAACAAUGAAAGUGAUGAUUCCACCUACCACUACAUCACCUUCAUAUCCGGUUUCUUUAUAGCAAUUGAAACAAGAUAAUAAAAGCAAAUAAUAGCAAAUUUUACCAUGGUGGUUAUAAAGCAUAUCCCAAACAUAAACAGCUCAACAGUCCUCAUCAUUCCUACCUCUUUUCUACCCCAUAUGGUGCAAGUCAAAACUCUUUCAAGGUACCUAAGCACAAGGUUAUGAAGUCUAUUCAACAACCUAAUCACAUGUUCAUCUAUUCCUAGUCUAUUCAUAGCAUUAACAUCACGGUACCUGCAAGGAGAGGUAGUUCUAGAUAUUAGAGAAUUAUACCUAUUUCAUUGCUCAGAAUCCUUGAAUUGGAUCCCAUGAUUGCGGGUUGUUGAUUGCUUCUUGCUUGAACCACUUCCGGAGGCUUCAAUCUCCUUACCUUUCAUUUUUGAUGUCAUUGACCUUAAUUUGACUUGGCUUUGGUGUGGGUGGAGGUUAGGCUUGGACAAGGUUUGUGUGGGAAGGGUUGGUUUAGUGAUGGGGUUUAGGUUUAAGUGAGGUUUAUGAGUUGAAUGGUGGAGAUUGGUGAAGAAUUUUUGGUUUUUGUGUUCUGAUUUUGGUGUUUGGAUGGUUUUGGUGGAUGAAUGUUGGUUUUGAUGGUUGGGACUUAAUGGAAGUUUAGAGAGAAGUUUAGAAGAUGAAAGAAGUUGUGGUGGUUGAAUGAUAGAAGAAGAAGAAAAGAAAAAAAAAUUGGCUUAUGGGGAGUUACCUGUCGCACACGGCCGUGCUUGUGGGGGCAUAGGCCGUGCCAACUCUCUGUAAUGGGAGGCUUGGGUUAAGGUAUAGUCAGGAACGGCCGUGCCAUUGCAAGCACGGGCCGUGCAAAGGUUCUGGUCAACCUAGGCUCAAUUUUUUUCGUUUUCUUGAAUCAUGCUCGGACAAUUACCUACAAAACAAAUUAAAAUAACAGAAAACAAACAAAAUAAAAGCAAUUAAAACGCGUGGGUUGCCUCCCACUAAGCGCUCGUUUAAAGUCAUUAGCUUGACAAUCAAAAGGUUUCUCUACUCUAUACCCAAUCUUUCACAAAGGGAUAAUGGCAUCAAACUGACACUAUCUCCCAAAUCACACAUGGCUCUUUCUAUAAUCUCGGAUCCUAUAACAUAUGGUAUGGAAAAAGUCUAUGGAUACUUAAGUUUAGAUGGAAAUUUGCCUUGAAUGAUUUCCAUAAAUUUCCUAAACUGCUCAUCUAGUUUGGACUCAUCAAACCCUUGUGGAAAAUGAAUUUUUGUCUCAUAUUGUGGUAAUAUGUUAGGCUUUUCACACUCAACCUCAACUUAAUUUGUCUUGGUUUCCACAAUGGGGUCCUCUAAUUGCUUACCAUCCCUAAGUGUAACAUCAUUCAUUUGACCCGUUGGGUUAGCCUUAGGUUGGCUCGGAAAGAUUUCGGAGGUUUGGUAGGGAGAGGCUACUUGAGGGAUUUGAAUCUCUACCAUUUUGUUGUGAGUACAAAGAGAAUCUACUUUUGAGGAAAGCCUAUCGAGAGAGUCUUUCAAAAUUCUACCUUGGAUUUCAAAUUCUUAGUUAUGCCUAGUGUUAUCUAAUACAAGAUUUUCUAGAAAAAGUUCCAUGUUGGAUUUUUGAGGGACUGCUUUGUUAUUUGCAAAACCAGGUGGUGUUAUUUGUUGUCCAAAAAGAUUUUGAGGAGUUUGAAAAAAAAUUUGAUUGUUCCUAAACCCUUGGUUAUAGUGAUCAUAGUUUACUUAAUCAGGACUUCUAACAACACUACCUAGUUGACAUUCAACACUAGUAUGACCAAAUAUUCCAUAACAAGGAGGUAAAACAGGGGAAGAGGUCCAUUGAUAGUAGUUUUGAGCCAUGCCUGAAAUCAAAACGGUUAAAGAUGAAAAAUAAAAAAGAAAUAAAAAAAAUAAAAUAAAGAGAAAGGGAGGGAGUGAGAGAGAGAGAUUAUAUAUAUAUAUAUAUAUAUAUAUAUNNNNNNNNNNNNNNNNNNNNNNNNNNNNNNNNNNNNNNNNNNNNNNNNNNNNNNNNNNNNNNNNNNNNNNNNNNNNNNNNNNNNNNNNNNNNNNNNNNNNNNNNNNNNNNNNNNNNNNNNNNNNNNNNNNNNNNNNNNNNNNNNNNNNNNNNNNNNNNNNNNNNNNNNNNNNNNNNNNNNNNNNNNNNNNNNNNNNNNNNNNNNNNNNNNNNNNNNNNNNNNNNNNNNNNNNNNNNNNNNNNNNNNNNNNNNNNNNNNNNNNNNNNNNNNNNNNNNNNNNNNNNNNNNNNNNNNNNNNNNNNNNNNNNNNNNNNNNNCCCAUAUAUAUAUAUAUAUAUAUAUAUAUAUAUAUAUAUAUAUAUAUUAUUUACUUGUGUAUAUAUUUUUGUUUAGACUAACCACUAUUAAGAAGAAAAAAGAUGAAAAUUGCUCUGGCGAUAGUUUGCACUAUUCAUCACCUUCUUUAUUGAGUUUUCCCAAACCACCACCGCCAUGUCUCAACCUCUGAUCAAAGCGUCCAAACCAGCCAUAAUCAAUUGAAAAUGUCUUGUAGAUGAUGAUUCCGAGAUGAUCGCCCCCAAAAACCUAACCAAUACCCUACCCAAAUCACAACUUUCAUUCGCCCAAGCCCUAACCAACAUCUGUGAUAUUCCCUCUAGCCAGCUACCAAAACCAACGCUCAAGGGUGACAAUUUUUCGAUUCUGAUACCUGAUGAUGAGUAUGAAAAGGGUCCGGACUCAUGUAAGAACAACUUACACGCACGCGUUAUUUGGCCGAAAGGGUCCUCUCCUCUUACGUGUGUUGCCUUGAAGGAGAAGCUUAAACCUGUCGGGAAAAACCUAGGUCCAUUGGGGGUCUCCUCCAUUGGCAAAGGGUUCUACGAAUUUGUAUUUUCAUCUAUUGAAGAUGCCAGAAGGGUCAGGUCGGUUGGUUCAUGGAUGUUAAACCCUGGCUUGCUGAAACUCUUUCCUUGGACCAAAGAUUUUAAUGUUGAUUUACAAACCAACACCUCUGCUCAGGUUUGGUUGAAGAUUUACGGUUUGUCCCAGAAAUACUGGAGAAAAAAAAUAUUGUUUGCCAUCGCGAGGAGUGUCGGAACCCCCAUUUGUAUUGAUGCGAUGACGAGCAAACCAUCUAUUGAGAGGACCUUUGGUCACUUUGCAAGGGUCCUGGUUGAUAUUGAUUUGACAAAGGAAUUGAAAUAUGAGGUUUUACUGGAAAGGAAGGGUUACGCGUUUUUCGUGGAACUUGCUUACGAAAAUCUGCCAGAUUUUUGUGAAUAUUGCAAAAUGGUUGGACAUAGUGUCCAUAACUGCAGGAAAAGAAGCUUCAAAGAUGCUGGUAAGGAGGUGCAGAAUAACACUAAAGAAGGAAUCAACAACUACAAUGCUGAAAGAAAAGGUAAGGAACCUUUGAUUGCUCAAAAACAGAACCAACAGUGGGCACCAAAGGAAGUUAUUGAUUUAGAGGUGGAAAAACUGAACAAUAUCUCCGGCAGUAAAGCGGAUGAAACAAAUGCCAUCCACUCUGAUGUGAACCAAGGAAUACAUGAAACAGAGAUGCAGGACAGCGUUGAAAGGAAUCAAACAACUCAUGUUCAGGGUGUCGUGCAUAAUGGAGGAAACAAUCAGGAUGUUUGCAAUAAUGAGGAGACGGAUUCUAAAGCAUCCGAAUUUGUUGAUGCAACAUAGUUGAUUAACGUGGAUAACGAAGAUCAAGGAUCAAGUCAGGGAAAAGACUCUCUGGUCAAGCCACAAGGUGAUAUGCACUUUUUACAACAGUCAUGGGCGAAUUUAGCUGACACAGAUGAGGCGCUGAUCAAGCAACAAGAAGAUGCACUACUAGCUACGCUGGACCUGGAGAAGGACAUCGAUGAGAAAAUACAACGAGAAAAUCAGGUCCAUACCGAUGAAUCAGGAUUCAAACUUGUCACAAACAAAUCAACCAAGAGGAAAAUUCACAAAGGCCAACCAUCCAAGGCAAGUGCUUCAUACCUUACUAGAUCAAAGGUUCCAAACAAACCUUUCCGAUGAAGUGUUUAUAUUGGAAUGCACGGGGUUUAGCUAACUCCCCAUCAAGGUUAACCCUCAAAAAUUUAGUUUUAUCUCAUCAACCUCAUUUUAUUUUCAUCUCUGAACCGUGGUUAAGUUUUGAACAUUUUCCCCGUAACUGGUUUCAUAGAUUAAACUUCAAACUUUUUUCCCUCAAUGAUAGAGGUCCCUUAGAACCUAACCUCUGGUGCCUUUGUCAUAAUAACUUUAACCCCUCAAUUAUUUCCAUUACUGAUCAGCAAUUAUUCUUCUCUUUUUCCCAUAACAAUACCACUUUUUGUAUUUCGGCCAUUUACGCUUCCACAAAUUACAUACAUAGAAGACAACUUUGGCAGACCCUAGAAAACAUUCAAAGCCAAACCAAUCUUCCCUGGUGCUCAAUAGGAGACUUCAAUACCAUCCUUGGUUCCCAUGAACACAGAGGUGCAUCUCUUCCUGCAAGGGGUCCUAUGAAUGAUUUUUUUGAUUGGUCCGAUUCAAACAAUCUCUUCCAUCUUCCAACAAGAAGUGCACAAUAUACUUGGUCCAACGGCCGUAGAGGUAACAGGUUAACUGAAAGACAUUUAGACAGGGCUAUCUGUAAUCAAUCCUAGCUGGAUUUGUGUUCUUCACUCAAUGUUUCCACUUUAUCAAAACUUAAAUCCGAUCAUUUUCCAUUACUGCUGGAUUUUGAAAACUCCCAAACCUAUUUUGCUUCCCAAUUUAAAUUCUUGAGUAUGUGGACCCUUCAUGACGAUGGUAAAAAUGUUAUUCAAGAAUCCUGGGAUGAUAAUGUUGUUGGCUGCCCCAUGUUUAUCCUUAACCAAAAACUGAAAAACCUCAAACAAAAACUGAAACUUUGGAAUAAGAAUGUCUUCGGAAAUGUCAACACCAUUGUCAAGGGGGCUGAGCAGAAACUUAUUUCCAUUCAAGCGGACAUUGACAUCAACGGUGCUUCUGAAACAUUGUUGGAUAACAAAAAAAUAGCUCAAAUUGAAUUGGAAAAAGCUCUUGAGAAGGAAGAAGAAUUUUGGAAAGAGAAAUCUAAUUCCACUUGGCAUUCUAAAGGGGAUAGGAAUACCAAAUAUUUUCACCGCCUUGCAAAAAUUAAACAUACCUCCAAACUCAUAAACUCAAUAAAUGAUGGAGAUAACGUGCUGACCGAGCCAGAUCCAAUUUCAUCUCAUAUCACUAAUCACUUUCAAAAUAUUUUUUCCUCUAACUUUGUUGUGCAGGAUUUGCAGGUGGAAGAGUUGAUAGAUGGAGUUAUUCCUAAUCUUAUUACUUAGGAUACCAAUCAUAUGCUUACAAUGUUGCCUACUCCGGAUGAAAUUUUCAAUGCGGUGAGUUCUCUAAAAAAAGAAAGCGCUCCUGGUCCCGAUGGUUUUGGGGCAAACUUUUACCAAACUUACUGGUCCAUUGUGAAACAAGAUGUGAUUAAUGCGGUAUUGGAGUUUUUCUCAAAGGAUUGGCUGCUCCCUAAUUACAAUUCCAACACUUUAGUGUUGAUUCCUAAAGUCCCUGAUGCUAUGUCAGUUAGUCAGUAUAGGCCAAUAGCGCUUGCUAAUUUCAGAUUCAAGAUAGUCUCUAAGAUUCUAGCAGAUAGACUCGCGCCAAUCAUGAUUCAUAUAAUCUCCCCUCAACAAAGAGGUUUCAUUCAAGGCCGGAAUAUUAGAGAUUGCAUUUGUGUUACCUCAGAAGCGAUCAAUCAUCUUUAUAACAAAUCAUUUGCAGGUAAUCUUGCUUUUAAAGUUGAUAUCUCCAAAGCUUUUGACACCCUUGAAUGGCGGUUCCUUCUAAAAGUUCUUUAUGCUUUCGGUUUUAACAAUAAAUUUUUGCUUCUGGAUUGAAACCAUUCUUCAUUCUGCAAUGUUAUCUAUUAAUGUCAAUGGUAAGUUGAAUGGAUUCUUCAAGUGCAAGAGAGGAGUGAGGCAAGGAGAUCCUCUCUCCCCUCUUCUCUUCUGCAUUGCUGAAGACGUACUAAGUAGAAACAUCUCAAAAUUGGUGGAGCUUGGCAAACUUGAUCUUAUCAAAGGUACCAGACAUGUACAGAUUCCUUCUCAUGCUUUGUACGCUGACGACAUCAUGAUAUUUUGCAAGGGGAAGAUUUCAUCAAUCAAUACUUUAAUGGAGCUUUUUAAAUCUUAUGCUUUAGCCUCAGGUCAAAUUAUAAAUCCUUCAAAAUCAACUGUUUUCUAUGGUUCUAUCUCACUGUCGAGAAUCAAUCAUAUCACUAAUCUAAUAGGAUUCAACAAAGGCUCCUUACCGUUCUUUUAUCUUGGAGUUCCUUUAUUCAAGGGUAAGCCUAAGAAGUCAUACCUUCAGCCUAUUGCAGACAAAAUAAAAUCAAAGUUAAGCUCUUGGAAAGCUUCACUUCUCUCUAUUGCUGGAAGAGUGGUUCUUGUUAAAUCCAUUAUCCAAGGUAUGUUAAUUCAUUCCAUUUCUAUAUACUCUUGGCCUCAAGCCCUUCUGAAGGACAUUGAAAGUUGGGUGAGGAACUUCAUUUGGAGCGGUGAUGUUUCUAAAAGGAAGAUGGUGACUAUCUCUUGGAAUAAGAUUUGCAAGCCGUACUCAGAGGGAGGUCUUGGUAUAAGAUCGCUAACAACUUUAAAUGAAGCAUCCAAUCUCAAACUUUGUUGGGAUCUCAAAAACUCUAAUGAAGAUUGGGCCGUCUUACUAAGAAGUAAGGUUUUCAGAGGUAACAAAGUUAUUUCCUACCAUAUUCAUUCCUCUCUUUGGAGCAGCAUGAAGGCAGAAUUUAAGAACCUUGAUGAUAAUUGUUAUUGGAUUAUUGGAAAUGGUGAAAGAAUAAAUUUUUGGUUAGAUACUUGGUACAAAGAGCCGUUAGUUUCCAUUCUCAACAUUCCAGAUCACCUUCAUGCAAACCUUACAGACAAAGUUAGUGACUUCGUGAUUAACUCUCAAUGGUGCAUUCCACCCUCGGUGCUGGAUGCUUUCCCCGCUUUAGGUCAUUUUACGCGGCAAAUUACCCUUCCAAGUGUUGCUAAAGAUGACAAUUUAAUCUGGAAAGGUAACACAUCUGGUGUUCUAUCUUUUAAGGAUGUUUUCCUCUUUAAAUACGGUCAUGGGUAAAACAUUAGUUGGGCCAAAUCUACUUGGAGCCCGGACAUUCCUCCGUCCUUAACUUUCCUAAUCUGGAGACUCAUGCAUAACAAGAUGCCUACUGAUGACAACUUGAUGCUCAGAGGGAGCUUAAUGCCUUCAAUGUGUUCCUCUUGUCAAUCUUGUGCCGAAACCACUACUCACUUGUUUUUUCAUUGUUCUUUUGCUUUAAAAUUGUGGUCUUGGCUAGCUAGUAUUCUUAACAAAUCCUUGCAAUUUAACUCAAUGAGUGAGGUCUGGUCUUUGUUGGAUCUUCAGUGGACUCCUCAAUGUAAAGUGGUGGUCAAAGCUUGCAUCUUCAAUGUAGUAAAUAUUAUUUGGUUUAGGAGAAACCAAAUUCGUUUUCAAAGCAAAGUCAUUCAUUGGUGCAGUGCAAUAAACUUGAUCAUUUCCAAAGUCUCCCUUGCUGGUAAUUUGACAUCCAAAACGGCUGCUGCAAACAUCUAUGAAUUCACUAUUAUGAAGUCUUGCAAAGUGAAUAUUCGGCCUCCUAGGGUUCCCUCCAUUAAAGAAAUCAUUUGGUCUCCUCCUUUGCCCUCUUGGAUUAAAAUCAACACGGAUGGUGCUGCUAUUAAGAACCCCUCAAGAGCUGCAGCUGGUGGGAUUUUUCGGGAUUCCAAUGGUGCUUGCUUGGGAGGUUUCACUCAUUUUAUUGGUCCGACAGAUGCAUUAUUUGCGGAGCUGACUGCUGUUAUGAUUGCUAUUGAGAUUGCCGUUUCUAAGGGUUUUUUCAAUGUUUGGCUCGAAUCUGAUUCUCAACUUGUCAUCAUGGCUUUCAAAUCGAAAUUGGUUGUUGCUUGGGAACUCAGAAACAGAUGGGAAAAUUGUUUCCAACUGACCUACAACAUGAGGUUUUGCGCUUCGCACAUUUAUAGAGAAGGAAAUACUUGCGCUGACAGUCUUGCUAAUUUUGGAUUAUCUCUCUCUUCUAUUGAUAUUUUUUGGUUUGAUGUUAUCCCUGAUUUUGUCAGGGGAGAGUACAUUAGGAAUAGGUUGGGAAUGCCCAACUUUAGAUUUACCACCUUCUGAAAAGGUUUUGGUCUAAUCCCCCUUUUCCAUCUUGUACUUUAUUUUUUUUUUCUUUUUCAAUGAAAUGAGCUGAUGCUCUUUACCUUAAAAAAAAAAAAAAAACCCACUAUUAAGAAGUUAAUCAAAUUACAAUAACUCCCCUACAGUGGCGCCUAAAACUUGAUGGGAUAAAACCGCAAGUGCACGGUUCUAUCGAAGUAGUAAAAAUAGAGUAUCGUUUCGACAGGGAGUUAUGAAUUCAAUUAACUUUAAAUAAUGAUUAGAUUGAAGGUUUAGAAGGUAGAAAAGUUUGGAUUUUUAAUUAACAGAAAAUAAUAAAUGAAAAGAUAAAAGUCUUGGGAUUAUUGGUUCAUCUAAUUGAGAAGUCCUUCACAAACCAAACUAUUAAACUUAUAACCUUAUGUUAGACCUAGUUUCUAAAGACGGGUUUCUCUUAAGCCUAUCACAUCUCCUAUCGGUCUCAGUGAGUGUGUUCCUCUAACAACCACGCCUAUUUUCAUGGUUGAUCACUAUUAGAAUACUUGAAGUUCGAAACUCUAUAUGUCUCAAGGUUCACUAGACUAUUUUCAUGUUUCGCAAUCCUUGUCUAAAUUCACUUGAUCGAAUAUCAAAACUCCACUUUCGUUUUAUGAAUUAAUAUUUGGGAUAAUGGAUUAACGACCAUCAAACCCUCCACUUUCGUUUCCAUAGUUUGAUAAUAUUUAAUCCAUGUUAAAACGGUGAAUUUAGAAGAGAAAUUAGGGUUACAUAAAAUUAGAGUUUAAGGCUUGGCUUGAUUAGGAUUAUAUCAUUAGGAUUAAGUGUGAGACUAUAUGUGUCUAUGAUACAAUGAGAUAGGAAAAUAAAGUCAAAGACGCAACAUGGUAAAAAAUGUGAGUUUGUGGCGGUUUUAUACAAGGGUGUCUUUGUUCCUUUCUUUCGUGAGAAAAUAAAAAGUAAGUUAGAAAAAUAAAUAAGAUGAAAAAAGAAUAUGUAUAAGAGAAAUGAUAAGGGGGAAACUAAGGAGUGUGUAUUAUAUCUGCGAGAGUAUAUAAAAUAAAAUGAGUUGAUGUUGAUUUUAUGGAUUUUUUAAAUGGGUGGAAAAUUACAGAGUAAUUGUGCUACCAAAAUAAUAGUUCAUUAAUAAAAUAUCACAUCAAUUGAAAAUGUCUAAUAAGCAUGCAUUUUAUUAACUCAACAAAACAAAUAUGCAUUUAUUCAUUGUUAGAUCUCACCAAAGACAAAAAGUGAAGAAAUUUUAAUAAUAGAAAUUUAAUUAAAAAAAAUCAUGAAAUUGAAUGAUAUACAAAAACUAAAAUUUAAGAUAAAAAUUAAACAAAUGACACCCAAUAUUAGCAACACAAUGAUUAUAAUUUUGGGACUUACGCAUGAACCUAUAUUAGGUUAAAACAUCGCAUUAAGCUAAGAGCACCAUACAAAAAGAGUUUGACAUCACAUCCUUAUCCAAAGUCUUAAGCAAAUAGGUUUAUGAGUCACCUCCCUUAUAUGUAGCUCAACAUCUACUCUUGCAUUCAAAGUCAAAUUUUAACUCACACUUGAAAAAUUAACAUCUCUCCAUUAAGUAUAAGACUCUCUAUGUUUGGGAUCCACAACCAAGAACCACUCCUAAUUUCCCACAAUGUUGAACCAAAUAUGAUUCCAACAUUGGGAUUUUGAGGGGACAUUGCAGAAAGAGCAACCAUAGAAGUGGGAAUGAUACCACAUCUUUAUCCAAAAUUUUAAGGAUUAAGUAUAUGAGCAUUUUCACUUAUUUGUUGUUUAAAGUCCACUAUGUUAUCCAAUGUCGGGCUUUAACUGACACUUCAUACAUCAUUCUAUUCUCUCUUGAAAGUAUGACAAAAUUCUAACCUGUGUUUGGCACUAGUGUACAUAUUACUUAAAAAUAAAACACUUUAUUUCCUUAUUUUAUUUCAUUGCCAUCAUAUUAGAGUACAAAAUUAUGAGUUCAAGGUUCAUAAAAAUAAGGGAAAAAUACAAUUAUUUGGUGCAUAAACAAAAACUAAAUGAUGAAUUGUGGAAUAUUAUAACAUUAGGUAUAUUAUAAAAUUAUUUUUCUAGCGCAAGAACUCAAUAGUCUCAAUAAACAUGUCUGAUCUCGGCACAAAAGCCUUUACGACAUGUAACACUAAAUUUUUUUUUUCGUGGACAAUCCUGAUCUGUACGACAAGGAGUGGGCGUAGUAGAAGAACCAAAAUCAAGUAGCGUCAGGACAAGAAACAUGUAAAGAAAUAGAAUCAAAACAUUAAGACAUUUUAUAGUUUUAGCCAUGUUUUUACCUCUUUGCAUAUAAAUGAUAUGAUAUGAUUUAAUCUUUUUUAUAGUGUAAAAAUUUCAAGCUAUCAUAAAAAUAAUUGUUUUAAAAGGCGUUCAUAAAAUUAUAAUCAUUAAUAAAUGACUCUAAAUUAUAUCAGUGUGUUAUGUUUGUCCCUUCACACUAAGAAAGGAAGUAAUAUCAUAGACUUGAUAUAAUUG